rnacentral:lncRNA from 1 species
UUGUUGCAAUCUGUUCUUUUGCACUCGCUGUAGCUUAUUAAAAGACAGGAAAUGGAAUUUAGCUAGAAGUGGCAAAAUAUGUAGAAACUUCAACCACGAUUCAUAUAUUAAUAUGACAUGAGUUCACAUCUCACAAAAUAAAAUGAUGAGUUCACAUCCUGAGUUCAUAGAUAAAAAUAAACACUUCUUCUUCGGUACAACCUUCUGGGCACAUCAACGGUCCAGAUUAAAAGAUACCCCUUCGUGAGGAUAAGUGAGGAGGGUAGGAUGGGAAAUUCUAGUGGGCGCGGCGUCCACCGGCGUAGUUAGGCGCGUGGCCAUACGGCCCGCUGUACGCCCGUAUGUGGGCGGUGUACGCCGCGUGAGGAGGAGGGCGGGCCCACGCAUACUUAAGCCUAACCACAGCCGCGCUAAACCCCGAUUAAUUCGGCGUGGAUUAGGCGAAGCCAUUAACGCCGGCGCAGUGGCACGUCCCGUCGCCGGCGUCGGUCCACGGGCGGUGCAGAUUCACACGCCAUCGACUGACCGCCUGCCGCGCGCCUGCGCACGCCACCGCUUGACUGCCCGCGCACGCCGCCCCCUCGCCUACCAGGCAUUAAUCGCCGGCGCCGAUUCUCACGCCGCCGCCUGAGCUUCUGCGCCCUUGACCGCCCAGCGCACGCCGCCCGCUCGACUGCCCGGCAUUAAUCGCCGGCACCCGCCCCCCCUCCCGACGCCCUAUAAAAAGCGCCUCGCGCCGCCGUCGCUCGCACACCGCUCUCGCCUCCCCUCUCCUUCUCCCCCUGUCGCCGGCGUCACCCCUCUCGCGCCCUUCCUCUCCCUCUCGCCGACGAUGGCGCGCCCCAACCUGACGCUCGAGGAGGCGGAGGAGCUCGCCCACUUCGUCAUCCCCGCCGGGCCCGACGUGCGCCUGCCGGCGAGGUGGCGCCUGAGCGUUGAUGGCGUGCCGGUGGCGCCGGUGCCCGAUGUCGGCACCCACCUCUUCGCCCGCGCCGUCGGCAUCUAUCGGGCGCGGCUGUCACCGGAGGAGUUGGAGGACCCGCGCUACGCCCCCAACAACCCCGGGUGGGCGGAGCGGCUCGCCGACGACCACGAGCGGAGCCUCCACACCUACGCCGGCCCGCGGCCGCCCGUCAAGCACAACCGCGCGCGGCGGCACCAACUCUGGGACGGGCGCACCUUCGAGGAGGUCAUCGCGCCGUACCGCGCGCAGGCGAUCGCCGGCGCCGUGCCCGCCCCGCCGGGGUACGGCUACGAGCUGUUCCGCCGUGGUGAGGCGCGCUCCACCUGCGCCCGCAUCGACUUCUGCGUGAUGCACCAGCGCGCGCCACGCGGCGGCCCAGGUAGUGACUGCGGCGCUGUCCGCCUCGGCCCCGGCGAUCGCCGCACCGUGGGCAGGAACGGUGCCGGGUCCAGCCGCGCCCCUCCGCCCGAGCCGGAGCAACCUCCAGACCCGGCAUUGGUGGCGGAGUACAGGCGGCUGGCGGCGGAGGCCGGCGACCCGCAGGACAUGCCGGGGUACCUGACGGCGGUCCGGGAGUCGGAGAACAUGCCGCAGCCGCCCCCGCUCGUCCAGGAGUACAUGCAGCUCGCCCCGGUCGCCGUCCACCCGGAGGACCCGCCGGACUUCCCCGGGUAUCACGCCGCGGUCGAGGACUCGAUGGCCGCGCCCGCGGCGCCCGUGGUACCCCUCGACAACGACAGCAGCAGCAACGACAGUGAUGACGGCGACGGGCUCUAUGACGAGGCAGACUUCGGCGGCGUCGAGGACGAGUAGUUUAGUUUAGGUUACUUUCAGAAUGUUGUUUAGUAAUGUUUAAUUAUUUUCAUAAUGUUGUUUAGUUAAGUUUAAUUUCUAGUACUAUGUAAAAUAUUUAUGAAAACUAUAAUGAAAUAUUGAGUGUUUGAAUGGAUGGUUUUAAAGUAUUGUUUAAGAAUCGAGUGUUUGAAUUGAUACUGUUAUUUGAAAUUAUUUAAUUGUACAAAAUUAUUGUAAAAAAUUUAAAAACAGAAAAGAGUUAAACUUUAAAUGUAAAAAAAGUAUGAAAAUUAGGAAAGGAAAUAAAAAACGAAACAAAGGGGAAAAACAAAUAAUAUUAGCAAAAAAAAUAAAAAUAUUUUUUUUGUUUUAAAAAGAGUUCUGUUGUAAAAAUUGAAAAAUCAGAAAAGAAUUAAACUUGAAUUGAAGAAAACUAUGAAAAUUAGAAAAGUAAAUAAAAAACGAAACAAUAAAAAAAUUACAUAAUAUUAGCAAAACAAAUUAGAAGAAUUUUUGUUUUUUUUAAAGACCGCCAGCCCGGAGCCGAGCGAGGCGUAGUAAGUCUGUCCCGAUCAAGCCGACGGCGAAAGGGACCGCUUGUCGACCCUGCAAGGCCCACGGGCCCAACCAGCCGGCGAAGAAAGAGUAGGCAAGAUAUUGUUUUUUAGGAGUACGGUGGGGUAGGGCGGGGCGUGUUAUUUAAGCCGGUGCGGGCGCGCUUCGGCGGGCGAGGUGGGACUAAAAUUAGACCUCGCCUCCCGCGGCGCUGCGCGGAUCGCCGAGGUGGGCCGAUUUUGGUGGGCCGAGUGGGCCGCCUGGAAGGCAUGCGCUCGAGCGGUCCAGGGCGCAGGGAUGGUGUGCGGUACGGUGGAGGCGCACUUUUUAGUCCCACCUCGCCCGCCGAAGGACGCCCCGACCGGCUUAAAUAGGCGGAUUCAUGCAUCCUGGCAGAUAAGAUAGUUAGUAAUAAUUUGAUUUGACUUUGCACUGCCAGGGCAGCUCUCCCGCAGCUGCCCGAACAAUGUAACACUAUCCGGGCAGCUGCGAGAGUUCUGCUAGCGCAUUGUAAACUCAGAUCAUAUCAUUAGUAUCUAUCUUAUUUUUGAUAGUUUACCACUGUACGCAAGUUUGUUUCACCUCACUUAAAUUACAUCAUUAAUACCUAAUUUUUUUAAAUAUUUGUCACACCUGAUUUAAAUCACAUUAUUAGUACUUGAACGGUCUUCGGAGAACGAGGUCAAUUUUUUUGACAUCUUCAAAAUGGGCUGAAAUUUUGCAAGUGAGUUGGUAUGCCCACUCCCACACUGAAUCCAAAAAUUGAUCGUAUUUCGAUACCAAAAGCACGUUGCGUCACGUCCGGUCAGUUAUUUAGGUGUUUUCACUGAAAAAUUAUAGAAAAUUCAUAAAGUGGCAAAAAGCCACGAAACUUGUCAUGCAUCCUAGUCAUGAUGGUAGAACACUAUGAAAAAAAUUUGGGUUCAUUAGAAGGAUGUCGAAAAAAAACUCCUAUUCGGACGAGGCCUUUGCUCCUACGCGAACGGUCUACGGAGAAGGAGGUCANNNNNNNNNNNNNNNNNNNNNNNNNNNNNNNNNNNNNNNNNNNNNNNNNNNNNNNNNNNNNNNNNNNNNNNNNNNNNNNNNNNNNNNNNNNNNNNNNNNNNNNNNNNNNNNNNNNNNNNNNNNNNNNNNNNNNNNNNNNNNNNNNNNNNNNNNNNNNNNNNNNNNNNNNNNNNNNNNNNNNNNNNNNNNNNNNNNNNNNNNNNNNNNNNNNNNNNNNNNNNNNNNNNNNNNNNCAUCCGGUCAGUGUUUUAGGUGUUUUCAUCGAAAAAAUUAUAAAAAAUUCAUAAAGUGGCAAAAAGCCACGAAACUUGUCAUGCAUCCUAGUCAUGAUGGUAGAACACUAUGGAAAAAAAUUGGGUUCAUUUGAAGCAUGUCGAAAAAAAACUCCUUUUCGGACGAGGCCUUUGCUCCUACCCGAACGAUAUACGGAGAACGAGAUCAAUUUUUUGACAUCUUCAGAAUGGCCUGAAAUUUUGCAUGUGAGUUAGUAUGCCCACUCCCACACUGAAUCCAAAAAUUGAUCAUAUUUCGAUACCAAAAGCACGUUGCGUCACGUCCGGUAAAUAUUUUACGUGUUUUCACCGAAUAAAUUAUAGAAAAUUCAUGAAGUGGCAAAAAGCCACGAAACUUGUCAUGCAUCCUACUCAUGAUGGUACAACACUAUAGAAAAAAUUUGGGUUCAUUUGAAGGACGUCGAAAAAAAACUCCUUUUCGGACUGUCUACGGAGAAUGAGGUCAAUUUUUUGACAUCUUUAGAAUGGCCUGAAAUUUUGCAUGUGAGUUAGUAUGCCCACUCCCACACUGAAUCCAAAAAUUGAUCGUAUUCGAUACCAAAAGCUUGUUGCGGGCCCUCCGGUCAGUGUUUUAGGUGUUUUCACCGAAAAAAUUAAAGAAAAUUCAUAAAGUGGCAAAAAGCGACGACACUUGUCAUGCAUCCUAGUCAUGAUGGUAGAACACUAUGGAAAAAAAUUGGGUUCAUUUGAAGGAUGUUGAAAAAAACUCCUUUUCGGACAGGGCCUUUGCUCCUACUCGAACGGUCUACGGAGAACGAGAUCAAUUUUUUGACAUCUGCCGAAUGGCCUGAAUUUUUGCAUGUGAGUUAGAAUGGUCUUAUUCAUUAAUGGAUAAUAAAAUUGCCAUAAUAUUAAUGAGUUUUUUGUUAUAAUUUAUAAGUAAAAGUAACAAGUGUUUUGUUAUAAUUGUUUAUGAGUUUUUCUUUAAUUGCUAACAUUUUUGAGUUUAUUAAAAAAUAAUUUGGAAAUCACCCUUAAUAAUUGUACAUAUAUGCAAAGUUAGUAAUGUAAUGUGCAAAGUUUAGUACUGUCAUAUGCAUUUUGUUAUCACUUAAAAAAUAUUCAAUAAUUAUAAAGAAACAAUAUUGAAUAUAGAAUAUUAUUUGUUAAAAAGUGCGGGGGGACAAAAUGAUACAAACAAAUAAGAUAGCUAGUUAAUAAAGUGAUUUGACUUUACAUAACUGCCCGGGCGACUGCCUGCCCGGGCAGUUAUGUAAGGCCAAAUCUCUUUAUUAUUAGCUAUUUUAUCUAACAAAGAGCACAAACGCGGCUAUAUAAAGCGGUCGUGGUGUCGUUCGGCAGGCGAGGUGGGACUAAACUUUAGUCCUGACCCCGCCGACCCUGCCCCCGCACCGCCGCACAGUGAAUGGGCCGGCCAACGCGCCCUGUCGAGGACCUUUUUUUGUUCAAAAAUAGUAUUAUCUUUUUUAGUUAUUUAUGCCUUUCGUUAUCGUUUAAUAAAUGGUUUAUAAUUAAUGAAAAACCCUACGUAAUAUAGAAUUGUUAACUAGAUUUAUUAUAUUUAUGUAAUGUUCAUUAUUUAGUUUAUAAGUAAGAAUAAUGAGUGGUUUAUUAUAAUUUAUAGGUAAAAAUAAUGAGUUUUUUGUUAUAAUUUUUUAUGAGUUUUUCGUUAAUGCCUAACAUUUUUCAGUUUAUUAAAAAAAAUGAGUUUUUUGCUAUAUUAGAAACACUACUUAAUAUAGAAUUUAUUAAGUAGUUAUAUUAAAAACACUACUUAAUAUAGAAUUUAUUUAGUAUUUAAAUUAUACAUAUGAAAACUUUACUAUUGUUAUUUGUGUCAACAAUGAUAAUGAGUUUUUUUUUAUAAUUUUGGGAGGCAGUGGGCAUGCAUGAAAUUUCACCCAAUUUUGGGAGGCAGUGGGCAUGCUCAUCGUAGGACCCCACGCAAGAUUUGAACGAAUUCGGGCACCAAAAGCACGUUGCAUCACGCCCGGUCAGUGUUUUCGGUGCGUUUCACGAAGAAGACCCUACGAAAUUCGUACGGUGUCAGAAAAUUAUUGAAUCUUGCAGGCUUGAUGGCCCUGGUCAAGAAACCCUAUUGAAAUUUGAAGGAUGUAAAAGAAAAACCCUCCGUCGGGACGUAUAAAAAAAUCUUCAGGCGCGUAUAGUCAUACCUUACAACACUUAUACAGGUCAUGCUAUAUUAGUCCACAAUAAUUCUGGAGUGACAGAGCAGAACCAGCAUAAACAUAGUGAGGUAUGGCCACCAUGAUUAAAGAUUUGAUGUUGUAUACGGAUGAAGCUAUUUAAACACGUUAUUAGUCAUGAAAACUAGCAAUGUGGGACUAAAAAUACAACACUAUGGGCGGUUGGCGCCCCUAGCGGCGCACACACGGCCGGCCGCCCACCAUGGCCCGUGCGCGCUGUGGGCCGCCCCCGCGCGCCUUUUAUGGCCAUUGUAGGCGAACUUUUAAUAAAGAAAUUUAUAGCCACUGUACGGUGUCCUAUAAUGCAAUAAUUUUUAUUAUUUUUGUAAAUAUAAAAAAAUUGUGUCCGAAGAGCACUGUAUUUGUAAAUAUUAAAAAACACAAGAAAAAAAUCCUGUAGUGCGGACGGAUUUACCUCAGAAAAUUAAUUUGAAUUUUUGCUGUGACACUCCAUGAUUAUGGAGUGCCAGAGCAUCAUUCACAUUAUCCUACUGAGGAAAGACCGCCACAUUAAAGGAUUCAACACUGUACGCAGAGGACAAUAUUUAAACAGAUGAAUAAGCGUGUCCAAAAGCAAUGUGGGACUAAACAAUUAGCAGUUUGGGCGGUGGCCGCCGUGGAUUUUUGCUUUCAUGGGCACUCACGUGUGCGCCGCAAACGGCGCCCAAGUGGCCGCCGUGGGUCGCCUUCGUAGCCCGACAGUUUGCGCCGCGCGCGCCGGUUGUGAAAAAAAUCUUAAAUCGUUGCACUUUUUGUGUUUUUCAUGCACUAAUUCAUAUAAAAAAUCUAAUGUCGAAACGCACCUAACUUUUGCAUGCGCGUGUGAGUGACCCCCACCGUCUCCCACGCCAAAUUUCAACGGAAUCGGAGUACGAACGGAAGUUGCGUCACGUCGGGAGACCUUUUCUGGGUAUUUUCACGGAGAAAAUCGUGGUAAAUGCAUCGAGUGUCGAAACACACCGAAAUUUUGCAGGCGUGCUUGUGUGGCACACUGUAGCGUGUGAAAAAAUAUGGUGACGUUUCAUGACUUUGCGAAAGGGAACACCUAGUGGAUGCCCGUCCCCCCAAACCGAUANNNNNNNNNNNNNNNNNNNNNNNNNNNNNNNNNNNNNNNNNNNNNNNNNNNNNNNNNNNNNNNNNNNNNNNNNNNNNNNNNNNNNNNNNNNNNNNNNNNNNNNNNNNNNNNNNNNNNNNNNNNNNNNNNNNNNNNNNNNNNNNNNNNNNNNNNNNNNNNNNNNNNNNNNNNNNNNNNNNNNNNNNNNNNNNNNNNNNNNNNNNNNNNNNNNNNNNNNNNNNNNNNNNNNNNNNNNNNNNNNNNNNNNNNNNNNNNNNNNNNNNNNNNNNNNNNNNNNNNNNNNNNNNNNNNNNNNNNNNNNNNNNNNNNNNNNNNNNNNNNNNNNNNNNNNNNNNNNNNNNNNNNNNNNNNNNNNNNNNNNNNNNNNNNNNNNNNNNNNNNNNNNNNNNNNNNNNNNNNNNNNNNNNNNNNNNNNNNNNNNNNNNNNNNNNNNNNNNNNNNNNNNNNNNNNNNNNNNNNNNNNNNNNNNNNNNNNNNNNNNNNNNNNNNNNNNNNNNNNNNNNNNNNNNNNNNNNNNNNNNNNNNNNNNNNNNNNNNNNNNNNNNNNNNNNNNNNNNNNNNNNNNNNNNNNNNNNNNNNNNNNNNNNNNNNNNNNNNNNNNNNNNNNNNNNNNNNNNNNNNNNNNNNNNNNNNNNNNNNNNNNNNNNNNNNNNNNNNNNNNNNNNNNNNNNNNNNNNNNNNNNNNNNNNNNNNNNNNNNNNNNNNNNNNNNNNNNNNNNNNNNNNNNNNNNNNNNNNNNNNNNNNNNNNNNNNNNNNNNNNNNNNNNNNNNNNNNNNNNNNNUGAUUUUGCGAAAGGGAACACCUAGUGGAUGCCCGUCCCCCCAAACCGAUACCUGAGGUUUGUACUGCGACUACAUGUCAACAUGGACGAAACGCACCCAACUUUUGCAUGCGCGUGUGAGUAACCCCCACCGCCUCCCACGCCAAAUUUGAACGGAAUCAGAGUACGAACGGAAGUUGCGUCACGUCGGGAGACCUUUUUUAGGUAUUUUCAUGGAGAAAAUCGUAGUAAAUGCAUCAAGUGUCGAAACACACCGAAAUUUUGCAGGCGUGCUUGUGUGGCACAUUGUAGCGUGUGAAAAAAAGGUGACGUUUCAUGAAAACAUAAAAAAUAAAUAAAUAAAUAAUAUAAAAAAUCCCGUAGUGUGGAUGGAUUUACUUAAGAAGAUUAAUGUAAAUUAUUGCUGUGACACUCCAUGAUUUUGGAGUGCCAGAGCAUAAUAUACAAUAACCUACUUAAGUAAGACCACCACAAUCAGGGACUUAACAUUGCAGGCAGAGGAAGGUAUUUAAACAGGUGAAUAAGCAUGACGAGAAGCAAUGUGGGACUAAAGGAUUAGCAUGUUGGGCGGUGGCCGCCGUCGCAUGGAUAGGUUGGGCGGUACCGGGCCUGGCCCAGUUGAUGCUGGGAAACGGUUUUUCCUCUCCAUCGUCGUAUACCGCCGCGCACGGCGGAACCCUACCCAACCCCACCACUCGCCCCCGUACGCCGCCCCGUGCCCCGACGUCGCCCUAUCACGAUCGCCCCACACUGCCCCACGCGCGCACAACACCGUCCACGCGCGCGCAACGCCGUCCAACGCCGUCCACUGUCAAUGGCGCACGUUGCCGCAUUGGUUGUUAGGGCGCCUCACGGCCGACGACGCAUCUCGCCAUCGUUCGGCUGCCUACUUUCCCUCUGCCACAGCCGCUGCUCGGCGGCUAUCGCCCGGAUCAAGGUCACAUUUUCCCGGCUUGUACAAUUUUUUCUAGUGCUAUUGUGUAAUUAUAUUUAUUAGUAGGAAAAAAUUUUGACAUGCAAUAUGGACAUCGAUGGUGUGAUUCCAUGUUCCAUAGAGAAGUGGAUAAGUCUCUUGACAAAUUAACAACUGCUCAGCGAUUUAGGUUCUAAGAAACAAACUUGCAAGAGAUAUUGAUCAUUCCGUCAGUACAAAUGAGAGAUUUUUUGCUGCAUUUUAUGAUUCUGGGUUAUAACCCAAACAGCAAAAAAUUCAUGAUACAAGAAGAAACUGGCAGUAAAGGCCUUAUUUCACUUAGACCGGACGACGUGUUUUCAAUAUUUGGGUUUAAGAAUGAAGGUGAGGGUGUUUUUGGCAUUCUUGCGACGAAAGGAAAAGAGUUAAUAAAGAAAAUUCCUAUUCAGUACGUUCACAAAAAAAAGGUCAGAUAAUGAUAGAUGACUUGAUCCAAAAAAUUGUGAGGAAUAAAUCCGCCGACGAUGAGUCUCUUCGGAUGGCUGUUCUUGUUUUUUUGGGACUAUUAUUGCACCGAUGUCGGCUGUCUCCAUACCAAAGGAGUACUACGCGUUGGUCCAUGACGUGAAGCGGAUAAGCUCGUUGAACUUUAACAUGUUCACUUUGCGAACUUGUUUGACGGAGAUUGGUAAACUCAAGCAGGACGGCCGUGUGAGGCAAUGGCCAUGUGGCAACCUAGCCCUACUCCACGUAUGGUAUUAAUUAAUGCUAUUUAAUAUUUCUUGAUGUUAUGCUUUCGUAAUUUAUUUUGUCAUUUGUUUUGUAGUACUUAUAUCGGGAGAAGGUGCAGCCAACCACCGGCCCGAAAAAUGACCCGUUGUCGUUGCAAAUUCCCCUAAUGAAAAACUGGACUGAAUCUAAAGCGGAGAAACGAGACAAGUACGACCUGGACAAUGGUCGUGGUUCUGGAUUGGUAAUAUUGUAAUAUUUAUUUAACAAUACGUUGAUUAUCCAUCGUAAAUGUUAUGUACUUAUGUUUUCAUUGCAUACUCACUUUGCAGAUAGAUGACUUCAUUACAAAAGAGUAUAGAAUGAAAAAACUUGCACAUGAACAUGCUGAAAGCAGUAAGAAACCUACUAGCCGAAAGUCAUCCGUUACGGGAAAGAGAAAAGUGGAUUGCGUGUCCGAGGUCCCUGUUAACCUAAAGCCUUUUAUGGACCGGGUAAUGAAUGAUAUGAAGGAAAUUCGUAAGGAAUUGUUUCGUAUGCCGGAGUUAUGCGCACAGGUAAAAAUUUAGCAAUUAUGGUAUGCACUCUAUUAAAUUCGUUAAAUUGACAAAAAGAUAUAACAUGUUACUGUGCUUACUUUUGCAGAGAUUGUUAGAGAAAAUGAAUAAAACAGGUGUGCGGUACAAACCAGGUACAAUGGCAGAGGAGGAAGAAAAUCUGUAUGGAUAGAAUAGUGAGUCCAGGCAUGAAAACAAGUAUCCUAAUAAAGAAUUUCAGUAUGAUGACAUACACACACCUAAUGGCCGAAAUGGCAGUGGGCAUUAUGAUUUGGAUUCUGAAGGAGGGGAUUCGUUCAAACUCAGUACUGGUCACUUGAGUAGCUAUAAAGGUGAGAAGGAUGAUCCUAUAGAUGUCCCAGAGCAGUCAAAAAAAAAGAAGCAUCAUCUUUAAACACAGAAGAAAUAGAAGCAACAAGAUGGGGAGUGGAACAAAAUGAGCAAGAAGUGUCGCAGGGCAUGUCCGAUGGUAAUAGCGAGAUAGAAGAGAAGAAGGAGGUGAUUUCAGGGAAGCGAAAGCGGAGUAAGUCAAAGUACCAGAAAUCUCCUUAUGUUAAAAAGACACCAAAAAAACGUGCGAAACGUUCCGCGAAAGCGAAUAAGUUAAAGACGGUAUGAAUAUUUAUUUCAUAAUUAUAUAUUAAAAAUUUAUACUAUAACUUUAUUUACUUGUGUUGUAGAACUGUUUAAUGAAACAAGUCCUCAGUUAGAUCAUUCUGUGGAUGAUAUGGUGCGUGCGGCUGUGCAGUACGUCAAAGCGUACGAGCACUCACCAAAACAUAAGAACCAUGAAAUAUUCAACAACGUACAGAUGAAGAAUAUCUGCGGCAAGAGCUUGCCAGAUACUUAACCAUGCAUGGUUAUCCGAUGAUGUAUGUACUUUUAUUGUCAUGCUUAUUUCAUGUGCUAAGUAUAUUGCAUCCAUGUUAAAUUUACUCAUCCAUUUCAGGUAAUUGACGCUUAUGCGACGUACAUAUCGGAUUCAACUAUUGCCAAGGACAGGUAUCUUGUACCCACACAUAGGUCUUAUUGGUUAUUGAACACUCGCCCAAAGAUAGUAAAACGAGGGAAGUCGGUGGACGAUCCGGAAGGUUUAGCACAUGCAAAUGAACCUCUCAACAGAUGCAUGGCAGAAUAUUUUGCAAAAUCUAAGGUACCGUUUGUAUUGCAGAAUUGUUUUUACAUUACUGUCAUAUGUGAAAGGCGAGCUUAGUAACAAUAUUUAAAUUGUGAAAUAGGCUUAUUUUGCUUUAAAUAAGGAUAAAAACCACUGGAUUACAUGUGUUAUGCACACUCGAAAGAAAGAGUUCCAAAUUAUUGAUUCUUUGAGGGGGGGAAGAAAAUAUCUCUGAAGCUACCAGGAAAUUCGUUGAAAAUUUUGUAAGUUUCGUAUUCAUGUGUGUACAAUUAACCAUAUAAAUAGUUUACCGUAUGUAGUCAACGUGUUUGUAUUUUUUUAUUUUCAGAGAGAGCAACUUGCAGGAGAUAUCCAAGAUGCAAAUGAUAGUGCAAUUAUGUCGUUCCCGGAUGUGUCCGCAUGGCCUAUAGUCCGGUACGACAUGCCUCAACAAGAAGAUGGGUGAGUUACAUGUUGCACAUGCUUUCGAAAUACAUUAAUUAAUUCAGUGCUAUCUUACUUAACGUGCUUUGAAAAUUGCACUUCUGAUUUUCGAACACAGAAACUCAUGUGGGCUGUUCCUCCUUUGCUGUUUUUAAUACUGGGACGGAGAAAAUUUUAUAAGUGCUAUUUCUCAGGUGGGUACAUUUUUAGUAUGAAAAAAUAUUACAUCGUACUAUAAGUGAUGAAAUUAAAAUCAUUUUUAUUGUUUUUCAGGAAUCUAUUGAUAGUUCGAGAGAAAGAAUGAUAGCUGGAAUUAUUUUGUUCCCAGAAAAUAAGCUUACAGAAGUGAAGAACAAAGUAAUUCGACUUGGAAAGUGGAAACAAAAAUGAAAAUCUCAUACGAGAAUUCUACGUGGAUUUCGAAACAUUAUGUGUGGAUGAUUGAGGAUUGUGUGUGGAUGCUUUAUUUUUUUUAUGUGAGUUCCAAACAUUUUUCACAUGUCCAGAUUAUGUAGCCCGACAAAUUUAUUUAACGUACAUUUUAAUCAUUUGAUAUUUUGAAAUUUAUUUUAUAUCUUAUGUGCGCGAAUGUAUAAGGUUGGGGCUUUAAAAUACCCAGUUGAUAUAUAAUGAUCACGUAUCAGAGGCGAUCGUCGCCCGCGCCACAGGAGGCGAGCGUCGCCCGUGCCACAGGAGGCGAGCGUCGCCCGCGCCGCGCCUCACGUGCUCGCCUCGAGCGGCUCAGACAGCGGCACGUGUUCGGCGCGAGAUGGCCCACGUGGGGGCGCAUCGUCUGGCCAGCCGGCCCGCGCCGCGCGUUGCUCCAGGGUUGGCCUGUGCCACGCCCGAGGUUGAUUCCCCCUCGGCCCACCUGCGCCCCUCUGCGCCCGAGGGCGGUGCAGCCUCGGGAUCGUCAUCUGCGGCGGCACCUGAAGCAUCCUCGUACGUAGCGCCCCUUGGCGCCCGAGGGCUGUCAACGUUUUUUUUAAAGCAACCGACGGCUGUACAACGCCUCCGAUCGCCGAACAUCCAUGUUUUAUACACAAAAUCAUAUAUUUCUAUAAAAAUAAUGUAUACAUCACAUAUUGUAUUAAAGACAAUGCCUGUAGUGCCAAGAAAUAUAUAUUAUAAAGUAAAAAGUGUAUGUCGCAUAUCAUAUUAAGAACACCGAGUAUAGUGACAACAGAUAUGACAUAAGUAAACAGCGAUUACAAGUCUCCCGUAUCGAUGUACCGAAACAAAUAUAUAAGUAGUAUUCUUUAAUACAACCAAAUAAAUCGUCAACUCUAUUCAGAAUUUGUUCCACUUAUUCAAACAAUCUGUGCUAUGAUCAUCAUGCCAUGUUCCUGCAUAGAAAGAUCGUAAUAUAUGUCAAAAUUUUGUAAACAAGAAAAGAACGUUAAAAAAGUGUGCACAUACUUAGGAUUCUGAGGACAAUUGUUCUUGAAAUGACCUUUUAUUCUGCAUAAACCGCAUAGGCGUACAGGAGGUUUCUCAUUGAAAUCUUUAGGUCUACCAUUUUUAGUCACGCCGGUUCCUUACCACGGCCUUUGUUAUUCUGCCCUUUGGUGCUCCUUUCGUAUUGACUUUCUCUGGAUCACCAACAAAAACAUGAUCUUGAUCCGGCACAAAAGCAUCGUCAUGUGCAACCUUAUGCUGUCUCACAUAAUCUUCCUCCUCAACAUCCUUGUUUGCUAUCACAUCCUCCAGAGCAGCCUUCAGUUUGUCAAAUAGGAAUGGUCUAUGACAUGCCGCAUGAUUUGCUUCCGCAGACAAAAUAGUCAACUCACUGUACUUAGUUCUCUCCUCAAUACCUGCCCAUCCCCAUGCGAAGAGAUCACUAGUGCGUUUCACGGGCAGUCCACCUCUAGCAUUCUUGGUGAAUCUUCGCAGCACUAAGCACUUAGGUAAGUCCUUCACGUUCAACCUUGCCAAAACAUAAAGAACAUGCUUGCAUGGGAGACCUUUACGUUUCAUACUAUCACAACUACACUUUAUUGUUUCUUCUGAGUUAGUAGGUGCGUAGUCCACUUCGAAUCUCAGUUGCCUGUUAUUUUUCCAUGCCACUACGAAUCUCUGACUGACAGCUCCACUGAGUCUAUCUAUGAUCUCAAGAUCUGUUGCCUUCUUCAUUUCUUUCCGCAAGAGGUAAAAGUUCACCGCAGUGAAGUCACGGGCAGCGGCUUUCUCAAUGCAUUUGAACUCCUCGAGUACUGGUACAGGAAGUGUCUGUGUGGACAUGCAGUCGUCGUAUGACUCGUUCUCACGGAGCCGAACAAUGCAGUUCUCAUAAUGCACAACCAUAUCAACAAUUGUUAUGCCAGAGUCAAGAUGCAUAUGAAGGCAAGAGUUCAGACUCUCGCUCCUCUGGUUACUCCACAUACCAAGGAAGAACCCACCGGUGAGAUAUGAUGCAGCCCAAAGCCUUUUCUUCCUGUACAUCCUACGCAACCAUGUUUCAGUUUUCUCCGACUCCCAUUUAGCUUUAAAAGCUGCCCAUGUUGCCUCAAACUCAUCAUGUGUAGUAGCAUAUAUAGUAAAUAAGAGACCUGAACUCCUUAAGGGACUUGUUUUGGAGGUGUUUCUGCAUGUUUUUCUCUAUAUGCCACGAACAAAGUUGAUGCCACACGUCAGUAAGGACCUUCCUGAUGGCCCUCAUCAUGGCUGCGUCUCCGUCAGUAAUUACAGACCUCGGCUCCUUCUGACAAUGAUCUCUCAAGAAGGUCUGCAACACCCAAACAUAUGUAUCCUCCGUAUCAUCUGACACAACAGCACAACCGAACACAGUGGUGCAACGAUGAUUGUUUAGACCAACAAAAGGUAUGAAUGGCAUUCCAUACCUAUUCAUCUAGUAAGUGCUGUCGAAGACGAUUACAUCACCAAAGUCAAGGUAAUCCCGACGUGACUGGGAAUCACACCAGAACAUGUUCUUCAGCUUGCCUUCUGCGUCAACUGUGUGCUCAAAGAAAAAGUCUGGAUCCCUUGCCUUUCUCGUCAUCAUGAUACCAAUCGCAGUGUCCGCAUCACCCUUUGCUAGCAACUUCAUUUUCUCCCUAUAACACAUGUUAUAAAGCUUCCUCCUCCCGAAACCAGCCCGUACAUAUGAUCCAUACCUACUAACGAAGUUAUCAUAAAUCCAAUGUUUUCUGAGCCCAGCACCUGCCAUUGCUAAGAUCUCGAGCUUCUGUAUUCCUUUAUUUGAUUAUGAGACCGAAGAUAUAUAACUUCAUCCGGUCUAGCAAGAGUGUGACUAUGAUCAUCGCUGAAACUGCUGACAUACCAAAUGGAGCGCUCUCUAUCAAGCUUCAUAGUCAGAUGGGCCACGCAAUAGCACCGAGUCUCCGCUCUCAGCCUGCCCUUGAACAGAGAAACCUCCUCAAGCGCCUACGUGCGUUACCCUUUGCAUAUUUCAAGUUGUCCCUCCUAAUGCUGAAGCCACGCUUUUUCGCAUAGUCGUUAUAGAAAUCAUAUGCCUCCUCGUCUGUCCUGAACGUCGUGGACAUCACCGUCCAAUGCCUGUCCAGUGAUUCUUGCUGGUAUUCAUCGUACCCAGUGUCAAAAUUGUACUCAUCACCAUCGGCAUUAUCAUCGUUUUCGCACGCGCCAUCAACCUCUCCCUGAAAAAAAAUACAAACAAACUUAUAUGUCAGUAAGUAGUUGUAUAAGGACUAUCAUAUGUAUUCACUUUGCACUACUUACUUUGCUCGAGCUAUCAAUAUAAGAUGCAUCGAUAUCAUUUUGGUCGUUGGGAUCAUCGAAAAAAUUCCACUCAUAGUACCCUUCCACUUCCAUCUGCGCAAAUUUUAAAUAUGAUAUGUAAGACUUCAUGCGUUUUUCAUGUCACUUUAAAAUAACCUGCAUAAUUUUAAACCUACAUGGCUUCCGCUUUUAGCAUAUGAAUCAUCUACAUCCAUAUCCUCAUUGUCAUCAUCCCCUCCUACCUGUGCAAAGUCAAACAAGUACAUGUUAUCAUCGUGGAUGCUUGUAUUUAAUAUGCUUGACAACAUGCAGACCACUUACAUUGCCACUGUAAGACUUAUCCAAACUCAUAUAAUUUUCGCCGUCAUGUUCGUCUUCAUCCAAUGACAAUGAUUCGUCCUCGCUACCGCCAUCAUCACCGUCAUAUCCUAUUUCCGCCUCCAUCUAUACAUGUUCAUUUGUAAUCAAAGAUCCGUUCGAACAUCACGUAACAUCUUCGCAAAUAAAAUCCGUUUUUAAAUCACUAUGCCAGCGGCUCGCGUACCUCGUUGCCUUUGUCAGACAUGACAAUACUGUUGAGAUUCGCCGGAGGCUCGAGGGAGAACAGCUCCGAGCUGAUGGCCGCGGAGGCGUCUGCCCGACCGAGGCGGUUGUCGGCGUCUAGUCACGCACAACGCGAGGGAGAAUAGCACGCCGAGCUGACGCCGGCGGCGCCGUCUGCCCCACGUAGGCGGUUGUCGGCGUCUAGUAUUUUUCCGUCGGCCAGGUACUGCCGGAGAUGGCGGCGGCGGCGCGAGAGGCGACGUGAAGAUAGGGUUCGCUGAUCGUUUUUUUUUCACUCGAACCACACGGGCGUAUGCAGCGGGGCGGGCGUGCUUGCGGGCGGGCGUACACCGGGCGCGGGCGCGGACGGGCGGGCGUACGCGACAGCGCCAUACGGCGACAUGAGCGCGCGUACGGCGGGCGGGCAUUUUCAUACAAGCGUGUGAAAUGACCGCCCUACCCCUUAUACGUUUUGGGAGGGGGGUUGUACCGAAGCGCAUCUCAGAAAUAAAAUGAGUUCACAGCUGAAAAUGAUGAGUUCGGUGUGGGAAGGAAAGAGCCAAGCGCUGACGCAACUACGUCGAUGCAACAGCAGGCGCUGGUCNNNNNNNNNNNNNNNNNNNNNNNNNNNNNNNNNNNNNNNNNNNNNNNNNNNNNNNNNNNNNNNNNNNNNNNNNNNNNNNNNNNNNNNNNNNNNNNNNNNNNNNNNNNNNNNNNNNNNNNNNNNNNNNNNNNNNNNNNNNNNNNNNNNNNNNNNNNNNNNNNNNNNNNNNNNNNNNNNNNNNNNNNNNNNNNNNNNNNNNNNNNNNNNNNNNNNNNNNNNNNNNNNNNNNNNNNNNNNNNNNNNNNNNNNNNNNNNNNNNNNNNNNNNNNNNNNNNNNNNNNNNNNNNNNNNNNNNNNNNNNNNNNNNNNNNNNNNNNNNNNNNNNNNNNNNNNNNNNNCCGUUCCCUCCCUCGCCGACGCCUUCCGUGUUGCCUCUGCGUUGACACGGAUCUGCGCGCUCGGCUCCUUCUCCUCGCGUGUCUGCAGAUUCGCAGGGCCAGGGUUCCCCCUCCCCUUCAUAUACGAGGCGUUCCAGGAGGUGCUUCACCCGAUCCAGUCGGUGCCGGAGGCGGAGCUGCUGGCGACAAGGGAACGAAGAUGGAUGAAUGAUAAUCUCGAAGUGCAGGGAAUCAUCGUAGCAAUUUCCAAAGGUGCAAGUGAUACGUAUGGAGUGUCGAACCCACAAGGAGCUAAAGGUAAGAUCAAUAUUCUCUCAAGCCCUAUCUGCCACGGAUACGACUCUACGUGCACCGAACGUUUGCUUCCAACUAGAAACGAGAAAUAAAACUACGUUGUGGGUAUGAAGAGGAUAACUUUGCAUGGUAUCGGAGAGCUAAAAUAUAAAAGUAGGUGCUGUUAUCAUAAAGUUAGAAUAUAAUACUAAAUAUUAUAAAUAGCGAGUGUGGAAUAAUGAUGGAUCGGUGUGCGGAAUUGUCCUAGGCAAUUGUUAACAAGACCGGUAGUCGUCAUUGCAAUUUCAUAUGAGGGACAGGCAUAAGCUAACAUAAUUUCUCUUCUUGGAUCAUAUGCACUUAUGAUUGGAACUCUAGAAAGCAUCCGCAACUACUAAAGAUCAUUAAGGUAAAACCCAACCAUAGCAUUAAAGCAUCAAGUCCUCUUUAUCCCAUACACAACAACCCCCUUACUCGGGUUUAUGCUUCUGUCACUCAAGCAACCCACUAUAAGCGAAUCAUAAACGUAUUGCAACACCCUACAGCGGGAAUCCCUCAUGCUUGCGCGACACGGAGGGCACAAUAGGACAACACCAAAAUAAAACAUACAACUCGUACCAAUCUAGAUCAUCCAUCAACCCAAAGACAAAGGAUAUCUACUCAAAACAUCAUAAGAUGGCAACACAUCAUUGGAUCAUAAUAUGUGGCAUAAAGCACCAUGUUCAAGUAGGGAUUACAGCGGGGUGCGGGAGAGUGGACCGCGUAAAAGAGAUGAGGAUGGUGAUGAUGAUGGUGAUGUUGAUGAACACGAUCACCGCGGUGAUGAUUCCCCUCCCGAUGGCACUCCGGGGCCACCGAGAGAGAGGAGGAGACGUUAUCCCCCUUGUGCUUCCUCCUCCAUGGCCUCCCCCCUAGAUGGGGAGAGGCUCUCCCUCUGGUCCUUGGCCUUCAUGGCGAUGAUGGCCCCUCCGAGAUCCUCCUCCAUGGCCUUCGGUGAUGAUGGCCCCCUCCGGCAGGGUGCCAGAGAGGGCCUAGAUUGAUUUCUCGUGGUUACAGAGGCUUGCGGCGGCGGAACUUCCGAUCUAGGUUAUUUUCUGGGCGUUUCUGUAUUUAUAGGAAUUUUUGGCGUUGGUUUCACGUCAGGGGGGUCUCCGAGUCGUCCACGAGGUAGGGGCCCAUGCCCAGGGGGGUGGGCGCGCCCCCCACCCUCGUGGACAGCCCGGGACUCUUCUGGCCCAACUCUUUUGCUCCAGGGGCUUCUUUUGGUCCAUAAAAAAUCAACAAAAAUUGGCACGUCAAUUGGACUCCGUCUGGUAUUCCUUUUCUGUAGAACUCAAAAACAAGGAAAAAAAACAGAAACUGGCACUGGGCUCUAGGUUAAUAGGUUAGUCCCAAAAAUCAUAUAAAAUAGCAUAUAAAUGCAUAUAAAACAUCUAAGAUGGAUAAUAUAAUAGCAUGAAUACUUCAUAAAUUAUAGAUACGUUGGAGAUGUAUCAGCAUCCCCAAGCUUAAUUCCUGCUCGUCCUUGAGUAGGUAAAUGAUAAAAGAAAUAAUUUGUGAAGUGUGAAUGCUAGCAGGUGCACAAGUUUGAUCAAUGAUAAUUUCAAUCACCUUUUCUAGCAUCAUUAUAUGUCAUAACAGUAGCUCAUCUCAUAAAACUUUUCAUGAUCAAGUAACAAACUAUUCACAUGUUAAAGUAUAGAUCAUAAACUUUCUUGAAAACUAACAAACAGUGCUCUUAGUCAUCAAACAAUUGCAAUUCAUCUUAUUUUCAGGAAGGGUCUAUGUCAGAGCUUUGAUUUAGCAAACUCCACAUACUCAACUAUCAUUUAAUCUUUCGCAAUUGCUAAUACUCACGUGAUAUUUAUGGGUUCAAAGUUUUAAUCGGACACAGAGAAAGAUAGGGGCUUAUAGAUUCGCCUCCCAACCUUUUACCUCAAGGGUAAUGUCAACAAUAAUAGUUCAUGAUAACUUACAUCCAAUUGGAUAUAUAUAUAUCAGGAUCUUUCCAACACAAUGUGCUUGCCAAAGGAUAAAAUGUAAAAAGAAAAGGUUAAGAUCACCAUGACUCUUGCAUAAGGUAGAAGAUAAAAGUAAAAGAUAGGCCCUUCGCAGAGGGAAGCAGAGGUUGUCAUGUGCUUUUAAGGUUGGAUGCACAAAAUCUUAAUGCAAAAAGAACGUCACUUUAUAUUGCUUCUUGUGAUAGAGACCUUUAUUAUGCAGUCCGUCGCUUUUAUUUCUUCCCUAUCACAAGUUCGUAUAAAGCUUAUUUUCUUCGCACUAAUAGAUCAUACAUAUUUAAGGAGCAAUUUUUAUUGCAUGCACCUAUGACAACUUACUUGAAGGAUCUUACUCAAUCCUUAGGUAGGUAUGGUGGACUCUCAUGGCAAAACUGGUUUAAGGGAUGUUCGGAAGCACAAGUAGUAUCUCUACUUGGUGCAAAGAAUUUGGCAAGCAUGAGAGGGAAAGGCAAGCUCAGCAUGUUGGAUGAUCCGUGACAAUAUACUUUAUUUCGGAUAUAAGAAAACAUAACCCAUUACGUUGUCUUCCUUGUCCAACAUCAUCCUUUUAGCAUGUCAUAUUUUAAUGAGUGCUCACAAUUACAAAAGAUGUCCAAGAUAGUAUAUUUAUAUGUGAAAUCUCUCUUCCUUCAAUAUUCUUUCAUGAAUUGUUCAAGUGACCAAUUCUAUGUUCGCUAACUUUCAUUAAGUUUACUAGCUAUACUUAUUCUGUGUGAAGUCAUUACUCCCCUUGGUAUAAGCAUAUGAAACAUUUAUAAGUUCAGAUUUAUGAUAUUCAAUUCAUUCAACCAUUUACUCAUAGGAUAUACUUGAAGCACGUGAGUAAAUGACAAACUACCCCAAAAAGAUAUAAGUGAAGAACACUGAGUAGUCAAAUAAUUAACUAGCCAUGGGAGGAUUCUUUUUCAUUCAAGAUUUCAGAUCCAACGAUUUUAUUCAAACAGCAAGUAAAAUUGAAAAUACGCUCCAAGCAAAACACAUAUCAUGUGACGAAUAAAAAUAUAGCUCCGAGUAAGGUAUACCGAUAGUUCUGAAGACGAAAGAGGGGAUGCCUUCCGGGGCAUCCCCAAGCUUAGGCACUUGAGUCUUCCUUGAGUAUUACCUUGGGGUGCCUUGGGCAUCCCCAAGCUUAGUGUCUUUCCACUCCUUAUUCUCCUCAUAUCGAUAUCUCACCCAAAGCUUGAAAACUUCAAUCACACAAAACUUAACGGAACUUCGUGAGAUAGGUUAGUAUGAUAAAGUGUAAACCAUUCACUUUGGUACUGUCAAAGACAAGGUUCAUAAUUUUUAUCACACAAUGCCUACUGUACCAUAUCAUUUCUACAACUUAUAUUGAGAAAUAUAAGCCAUAGAAACUAUAAAACAAGCAAACUAUGCAAUGAAAACAGAAUCUGUCAGAAACAGAAUGGUCUGUAAUGAUCUGAACAUAAACCAUACUUAUGCUACUCCAAAAAUUAUGAAAUAAAUUGGUGGACGUGAGGAAUUUUUCUAUUAAUCUUCUGCAAAAAGAAUCAACUCAAAAGCACUCUUCUGUAAAAAAAUGGUAGCUAAUCCCGUGAGCGCAAAGUUUCUGUUUUUUACAGCAAGAUCACAUUAACUUUCACCCAAGUCUUCCCAAAGGUCUUACUUGGCACUUUAUUGAAACAAAAGCUAUAAAACAUGAUUACUACAGUAGCUUAAUCAUGUAAACACACAAAAACAGUAAGGGUAAAUAUGGGUUGUCUCCCAACAACCGCUUUUCUUUAAUGCCUUUUAGCUAGGCAUGAUGAUUUCAAUGAUGCUCACAUAAAAGAUAAGAAUUGAAACAUAAAGAGAGCAUCAUGAAGAAUAUGACUAGCACAUUUGAAUCUAACCCACUUCCCAUGCCUAGGGAUUUUUUGAGCACAUAAUUUAUAGGAACAAGAAUCAACUAGCAUAGGAAGGCAAAACAAGUAUAACUUCAAAACUUUAAGCACAUAGAGAGGAAACUUGGUAUUAUUGCAACUCCUACAAGAAUAUAUUCCUCCCUCAUAAUAAUUUUCAGUAGCAUCAUGAAUGAAUUCAACAAUAUAACCAUCACACAAAGCAUUCUUUUCAUGAUCUAGAAGCAUAGAAAUUUUUCUACUCUCCACAUAAGAAAAAUUCUUCUCAUUCGGAAUAGUGGGAUCACUAAUUCCUAAAGUUGACACUCUUCCAAACCCACUUUAGAUGAUAAUAUUAUUCAUACUCCAAAAGAUAUAAGUGAAGUUCAUGGAGCAUUCUAAGAUUAAUAUAGACUAACCAAUAUCCAAGCUCAAAAUGUAUAAGUGAAGCACAAGAAGCAUUCUAUAAAACCAUACUCAAAAGAUGUAAGUGAAGCACAAAGGGCAAUUCUAUAAGAUCAUACUUAAAAGAUAUAAGUGAAGCACAUGAAGUAUUCUAUAAAUUGAUGAAGGGACAUCUCAUACUAGAAUGGUUCUUAAAGGAAAAACAAAAACACAAAGGACACAAAUCAUGUGAACAAAACAAAAACCGAGGUAUACCGAUAUUUGUUGAAGAAGAAAGAUGGGAUGCCAACCGGGGCAUCCCCAAGCUUAGAUGCUUGAGUAUCCUUUGAAAUAUUUUCUUGGGGUGCCUUGGGCAUCCCCAAGAUUGAACUCUUGCCUCUCUUUAUUCUUCUCAUAUUGAUAGUUCCCCGAUCUUCGAACACUUCAUCCACACAAAACUUUAACAAAAACUUUGUGAGAUCCGUUAGUGUAAUAAAGCAAACUACCACUUUAAGGUACUGUAAUGAACUCAUUCUUUAUUUAUAUUGGUGUUAAACCUACUGUAUUACAACUUCUUUAUGGUUCAUACCCUCCGAUACUAGCCAUAGAUUCAUCAAAAUAAGCAAACAACACGCGAAAAACAGAAUCUGUCAAAAACAGGACAGUCUGUAGUAAUAUGGAAGUUUAGUAAACUUCUGUAACUCCCAAAAUUAUGAAAUAAAUUUGAAAAUUUGAAAAAUUAGUACAGAAGUAAUGUUCAAAAUCUUUCAGACCCAUUUGACCUUCCAGUAAAAAAAUGUAAAAUCACGCACUACAGCCAAAGUUUCUGUUUUUGUUCUGCACAUAGUAAACAAGAAAUCUAAUCAUCCUAAAACCAAAGCUUGGCUCAUUAUUUUUGUAAUACAAUGGAUAUAUACAAGGGGAUAAUUAUUUACAGAGAAACUUCCAUGAAAAAUUCUACAUUGUUUCCGUGAGCAUGAACACAAGUGCUCAAGGUCGAUCCUCACUUCUUCAAUGCAUAACUUUCCAAUCACUUCUCUUUUUGAAAAACAUUUUAGGCAUGAGAGGCAAGUAAUUUUUUUUGUAUUUUCAUUCUUUAACUUUUUUGUAUGUUUCACCCACAACUAAACAGAAACAAAAAGGAAAAAAAUAUACUUAGUGAAGAAAGCAAACAAGCACACAGGAGAAUAUCAACCCCACGCUAUUGCUCCCCAGCAACGGCGCCAGAAAAGAGCUUGAUAAUCCCCAAGUGCAGGGAAUCAUCGUAGCAAUUUCCAAAGGUGGAAGUGAUAAGUAUGGAGUGUCGAACCCACAAGGAGCUAAAGGUAAGAUCAAUAUUCUCUCAAGCCCUAUCUGCCACUGAUACGACUCUACGUGCACCGAACGUUUGCUUCCAACUAGAAACGAGAAAUAAAACUACGUUGUGGGUAUGAAGAGGAUAACUUUGCAUGGUAUCGGAGAGCUAAAAUAUAAAAGUAGGUGCUGUUAUCAUAAAGUUAGAAUAUAAUACUAAAUAUUAUAAAUAGCGAGUGUGGAAUAAUGAUGGAUCGGUGUGCGGAAUUGUCCUAGGCAAUUGUUAACAAGACCGGUAGUCGUCAUUGCAAUUUCAUAUGAGGGACAGGCAUAAGCUAACAUAAUUUCUCUUCUUGGAUCAUAUGCACUUAUGAUUGGAACUCUAGAAAGCAUCCGCAACUACUAAAGAUCAUUAAGGUAAAACCCAACCAUAGCAUUAAAGCAUCAAGUCCUCUUUAUCCCAUACACAACAACCCCCUUACUCGGGUUUAUGCUUCUGUCACUCAAGCAACCCACUAUAAGCGAAUCAUAAACGUAUUGCAACACCCUACAGCGGGAAUCCCUCAUGCUUGCGCGACACGGAGGGCACAAUAGGACAGCACCAAAAUAAAACAUACAACUCGUACCAAUCUAGAUCAUCAAUCAACCCAAAGACAAAGGAUAUCUACUCAAAACAUCAUAAGAUGGCAACACAUCAUUGGAUCAUAAUAUGUGGCAUAAAGCACCAUGUUCAAGUAGGGAUUACAGCGGGGUGCGGGAGAGUGGACCGCGUAAAAGAGAUGAGGAUGGUGAUGAUGAUGGUGAUGUUGAUGAACACGAUCACCGCGGUGAUGAUUCCCCUCCCGAUGGCACUCCGGGGCCACCGAGAGAGAGGAGGAGAGGUUCUCCCCCUUGUGCUUCCUCCUCCAUGGCCUGCCCCCUAGAUGGGGAGAGGUUCUACCUCUGGUCCUUGGCCUUCAUGGCGAUGAUGGCCCCUCCGAGAUCCUCCUCCAUGGCUUCCGGUGAUGAUGGCCCCCUCCGGCAGGGUGCCAGAGAGGGCCUAGAUUGAUUUCUCGUGGUUACAGAGGCUUGCGGCGGCGGAACUUCUAGGUUAUUUUCUGGGGGUUUCUGUAUUUAUAGGAAUUUUUGGCGUUGGUUUCACGUCAGGGAGGUCUCCGAGUCGUCCACGAGGCAGGGGCCCACGCCCAGGGGGGUGGGCGCACCCCCACCCAUGUGGACAGCCCGGGACUCUUCUGGCCCAACUCUUUUGCUCCAGGGGCUUCUUUUGGUACAUAAAGAAUCAACAAAAAUUGGCAUGUCAAUUGGACUCCAUUUGGUAUUCCUUUUCUGUAAAACUCAAAAGCAAGGAAAAAACAGAAACUGGCACUGGGCUCUAGGUUAAUAGGUUAGUCCCAAAAAUCAUAUAAAAUAGCAUAUAAAUGCAUAUAAAACAUCUAAGAUGGAUAAUAUAAUAGCAUGAAUACUUCAUAAAUUAUAGAUACGUUGGAGACGUAUCAAUGAAGAGGGCAUAGAGGAUCAACAAUGAUUCCUUCUCGUGGUUGGAAUGCGAGAGGGAAUGGAGGGAAGCGAAGGCGGUAGCAGAGGCGGAAUCGGAUCCGAUACUCAGAUCCAGAAGAGAGAGGUAUGUUCAAACUUGGCGGAUCCAGGCAGACUGAGAGAUGAAGAAUUUUGCAAGAAGGAUUCACUUUGAAGGUACCGCGGAGGAGAGAGCGCAGAUGCUGCCUUUCCCACUCUCACCGUCGGUGGACUUCAUUCAUUGGGCGAGGGGAGAGGGGAUAUUCAGCGAUCUGAGGAGGAAAGGGAGGUGGAUUUGUCUCGUGGGACUGUGUCCAGCAAGCGUUCCACCGCUGCCGGAACCAGUGGAUCCUCUGCAAUACUUGUCGCCAGCAAUUUGAAUUCCUCUGCAGUUUCAGUCUGUGACAGAAGAGAGGAGGAUGAGCUUGAUGAACAGACGGUUAGAAUUUGACCCCCGUGGAUGUAGGAAAAAUGAUGAAGCUGGAUAUGCUGAUUGCUUAGUUGGAUCUCGACCUGGAGGCAGAUUCUGGGCGUUGGAGCAAAUUGAAGAAGAUGGUGAAAAAUGUUCAGCGGAGAGUGAAGCUGGACAGAGUCCAUAUAUAGCGACUUUAGCUGAUGCUUUUGCUUGUGCUAAGAGGGAAUCGAAGAAGAAAAUCAAAGGCAAGCAGAAGAGGGACAAAUUAUGCAAAUUGGGUGUUGUUGACCGCAUUUCAGAGAAGAUUGUGGCUCCUGUAUUUAGUUAUGUAAAUGUUCCUCCUUGUCGUAAAUCCAGGCAUGUGCUUCCUGUUGAGUGUGAUUCAGUUACUAAGGAUUGCUGGUACCAAAUUGUUGGUGGUAAGCCAGUUGAUGUGGGUGUGGGUUUUGAGCCGAAUUGUAUGCAGAUGGGACAUGACGGGAGAGGUCAUUAUCUACCAGCACGCAGCUUGGUUGAUGCGCCGCUCUCCACACGGUCGCCAACACGCCCGGAGGGUGAAUUUGGAGAUGAUUUAGAGUUCAGGUUUUUUUCCUGUUUUGAUUCAAACUAUGCAUCGGAAUGGGCCGGUUGGUGGUGGGCUGGGUCAGAAAUAUGGGUGCAUAUUGGAGCCCAAAAAGGGGAGUGGGGUGCUACAACUUGGUCAAAGAUAGGUCGUUAACCCUAAUCACUUUUUGCACUCUAGGAUUUCCCAUUUGUGGUGCCCGUCCUCGGCCACCGCCACUCGUGAUAGGUAGAUCCGGGAGGAAAGAUGGAUGGGCAUUUUGGUUCUGGGCGUGUAAAUGGAGGGAGGGAUGGUGGAGGUGGUGGAAGCUGGAGACCAAAUCAAGGUUAUGGGAGAGAAUUCCAAUUUGACAAAUACGAUCAAGGUCCUUAGGUCCGACCCCGACCGUCGUUUCAAAAUUUCCAAGGUAACCAGCACUAGAACUUCCCGCGUAGAGAGCCAGGAUACGGGGAUUGGGGACAAGAUGGUGGCAAUCGAGGUAUGUAUCAGUACCCUCGUCGGCCGCCACUGCAAAACACUAAUCUACCCCUACUACUAGCAAAAAAACAACAGAAGAUGAGUACAACCACUAUCAGUGGUGGAGGAGGGGGUAGCGAUGUUCAGACUUCCAAGCCUAAUUCCGCUGGGGCAGUGGUGGCAGGGAAUCAAAGCUCGAGGGUGAUUUCUGAUAGCAAUGUUUCUUCUAUGGACAAGGUUAUCUGUCAUAAGUGUGGUGAGAAAGGUCAUAACUCUAAAGGAUGUGAGGCAAAAGUAAAGUGUGUGAUCUAUACUAAGGAUUCUCAUGUACUUGAAUUUUGUGCUUGGCUUCAUCAGAAAAAACUUGUGGCUACUCUGGUUGGUUUUGGUGGGGAGGGGCUUGGAUUGUUUGUGGCAGAGCAUGCAAAGGAGAUUUCCAGUGCUAAUAAAAAUGAAGUUGUGGCUUUGGUGAGACUGAGGGAGGGAUGUGAUUUAGAAGUGGAUGCUGACAUGUUAAUUAAAAGCUUGGCCGAAACUUAUCCAUGGAGGUGGGACUUGAAAGCUAGAAAAGUUUCUGAAGGAGUUUUUUUGGCAAACUUUCCUUGAGCUACUAGAAUUGAUGAAGUUGCUAUAUAUGGCUGGGUCCCUUUAAAGGGAGGAAAUAUCUUGGUGAAUGUGAAAAUCUGGAAUGAUGAUGCAAUGGCUGUAGGAAAACUCGCUGCGGUUUGGGUCAGAGCAAAAGGUGUACCAAAGACUAUGAAGAAUUUCCAUGGGCUAUGUGAAAUUGGCUCAAUGAUUGGUUACAUUCAGGCUGUGGAUAUGCAGUUAGUAAGUAAAACAAGCUUGGUUGGAUUGAAAGUUGUUGUGGUGGAUUACAGAAAAAUUCCUAGAUGGACCAAGUUAACAAGUCCCAAUCUCAUGGUUUACAUAAUCUUCUUUGAAAUGGAAGAAGUAGUAGAUGAAGGAUGGGCUAAGGAAGAUGAUGAAUUAUCUCAAGGCUAUGAAGACUGGAUGGAUUUUCAGCAAGAGGAGGAGGAUAGCAGAGAUCCCAAAAAAGCAAAACACAAUGAAGAUGAGGCAGACAAUAGACCAAUUCGUGCAAGUACACAGACCAAGAUUGUUGUGGAUGAGAAAGAUGUUGUUAUAAAGGAACAGGAGGAAUAUGAUAUUCGGUUGUACUAUAAACACAAAGAUAAGGAUGUUGAAGACAAAAAGGAAGAAGAAACUGGCUUUGUUUUUGUGAAUAGAGGAGGUGGAAAAGAAAAUGAGGAGGAAGAGCAAAACACUGCUGAUGAUAAAAAUUUAGAUGAUGAAGUUGAGAUGUCUCAGUCUGUCAGUUUGGGGACUAAACUAGGGAUUAGGGUACAUGAAGAUAUGACUAUACACAAUACCAAUGAUAAGAAUUCUGACCAAGGUACACAGAGGUAUAGUGGAAGGAUAGCUUCAAAGAACAAAGAUGAUAUCGCAAUGUUAGAUAGAGCUAUAUGACUCUGGCUAGGGCCAAAAACCUAGCUUUAUCUAAAGGUAUGUCAUCUAAUGUUGUUGAUGAAUAUUCUGAAAAUGUAGAACUAAUUGAUGUUGCUAAUUUGAUAGGAAUUGACUUAGGGGUUUCUUCGGGUUUGGUGGAGUACAGUUUAAAACUAAUUUCCUCUCAUGAAAAAGCUAGAAGAGAGAUAUUUUUAGCUAAUACCAAGGAGGAAUCUAGUGAACAGGAGAAUGAGAAUGUCUUGGAACUUGAGGAGGUUAAUUCUAUACUUCAGGACUUAUUACAAUUAAGUAGGGAAGGGGAUGAGGAACAUAUGGAUGAUCAUUCGGAAAGUCUAUUUGGUGGUAUGAGGACAGGUCUUAAAGCAAACAGUGCUCAUUUUGAGGAUGUUGCUGUUAAGACACCACUAAAAACAGUGUUGAGUAGGAGGAAAACAGUGCUCAUUGGCUCAAUCUCUCUCCCAUAAGCAGCGUUGAAUCUGUCAACAGAGUAGUACUCAUGCACAAAUUGUUCAAGGUCUACUCUCUUUUGUGAGGUCACGAAGGCCAAGACAUGCGGACAUGGCUUACCAGUAUGCUACCAUUCAAGACAAGUGUUGGAAAUAUGAACUAGAUGCAAUAAUAAUGUAUUAUUAUAUUUCCAUUUUCAUAAUUAAGAGUUUAUAUUUCAUGUUAUAACCAUUGUGAUCCUAGAAUAAGUGAUUCAGUGAAAAACUCAUAUGCACAUGUGGAAUGGUAAACGGUAAAUAAUAGGUUCCUAGUCUUGCCUCUAAGACUGACUCAAGUGUUGUUCGUGAUCAUGUUUCCUGGAUCUUAGGAUAUCGUUAAGUGUAACGAUAGUCCUAAAACAACAUUGAAGGUAUGAUGUUAGAAGAAUGAUCAUAUUGAAUCGAUCCAAUAUUGUUUGUUAUACUUUGAGAUAAUAUCGUCUGAAAUCAAUUGUUAUAACACGGAGUGUUAGUAUGUGUUUUUAGUUCCUCAGACGAUGAAUCUUGGGGUUUCUCAAACAUCAUCUGUAACACGGUGAUCAUAACGACAACUUACAGGUUCAUCUAAAAGUUUGACAAGGGACUAGAUAGCUCGAGAGAGGGAUUUGCUCCUCCGACAAUGGAGAGAUAUUCUUAGGGCCCUCUUGGUGUGACGGAAUCCAUCAUCGUCUGGCCAGACACAGGUGAUUACGUCAUAGGGAUGCCGGAACACUUCAAUGGGAGAAGAACAAAACCGGUGACAAGAUCAAUGGUAUAAUGAGCAUGUGCAUGAAUCAGUAGGAUACCAAUGCAUCCCGACUUUUGUAAAGUAUCCCGAUGCAAAGGGAACAUCACAGGAUAACCGAAGGUUCACUCGAAUUUCAUUCGUGUAAUCAUAGGGAUCGAUAUGGACAUCCACGGUUCCACUAUCGGUCAUUGAACGAAGAAGUUUCGUUCAUGUCUAGGAUUUACCAAACCUACAGGGUCACAAGCUUAAGGUAAUCACGACCUGCUGAGUGUUAGUAGGAUGAGAGCAUCGAUGAUUUAUUUAUGGAAUUGUUUCAUUAAGAACAUUUACAUUUAUGACCCUAAUUUGCGCCGACUCUCAGAUUUACCCCUAACUUUUUGAUGUGCUCAAAUUUGCCCUAAAAAGAAUUUAGGUCACGAGAAUGCCCUUCCAGCUGGUCAAAGUUGUUUGACCAAAACUUUGAAAAAUCAUAAAAAAUUCAUAUGAGCUCAAUAUGUUCGUUAAAAUAUCACCUAUACACGCAUGUCAUUUAUGUUCAUCAACUACACGUGCAUUUAUUUGCAUUCACCCUAAAUAGUUUUUAAUGUUAUGAACCCUAAAAUGCUUUAAAGUGUGCUUUUGUCAUGCACGUAAAUGACACGUGCAUAUAGGUGAUGUUUUUAUGAACAUUUUGAUAUCUUAUUUUGCAUUCUUCUAAGUUCAUAUGAAUUUGUUAUGAAUUUUGAAAGUUUCGGUCAAACAACUUUGACCAGAUGGAAGGGCAUUUUCGUGACCUAAAAUGCUUUUUAGGUGCAAAUUUGAGCACAUAAAAAUGUUAGGGGUAAAUCUAAGAGUGGGCGCAAAUUAGGGUCAUAAAUGUAAAUGUACCUGAAUGAAAUAAUUCCACAAAUAAAUUCUCGAUACUCUCAUCCUGCUAACACUCAGCAGAUCGUGAUUACCUUAAGCUUGUGACCCUGUAGGUUCGGUAAUCAUAGACAUGAACGAAACUUCUUCGUUCAAUGACCAUAGUGGAACCAUGGAUGUCCAUAUCGAUCCCUAUGAUUACAUGAAUGACAUUCGAGUGAACCUUCGGUGGGUUCAAGUUAGGGUCACAUCAAAAAGUUAGGGGUAAAUUUGAGUAGUGGGUUCAAGUUAGGGGCUCAAAUGUGAAUGUCCCGUUCAUUAAUGUUCAAAAUAGUUUUGAGAGGAAUCGGAAGCGUUUAGGGGUCACCGGAAGGGUUUCAGAGUUUAUCGGGAAAUACCGGGUAUUAUCGAUAAAUAAUAUAUAGGUGGAAAAUGUUUUGGUUGAUGUUAAAUUAUAUAUAGAAGGCCCUGGUAAUUGUUAGAGGGCUUUUAUAGUUAAUUUAAUAUCAACAUGCCUUAAAAUGUCUAGUGGUGAAAGGCAACUUGGGCCACCAAGGCCCAACUGGAGGUGGGGUCCGCCCUUUCCUGUAGGACGUGAUGAUUAUCAAAUUGCAAAAUUGAGUGAAUCAAUGAAUUGACCAACAUGUCGAGCAAUAAGAAGCGAAACAUAUGAAUUCCAUGGUCGACGAGCCCGGCGGGCACCUUCUCCCCACUUGUGCAAUCGCAUCGCAAAACUUCAUGAUGAAGUUGGAGAUGGUGUACCACCGGUGGGCCAGUGACUUCACAUUGUGUUCAUGGAUCAAGUAAAAGGCAUAGGGCAUGAAGUGCUUUUGCUCAUGAAACGGAAUAUGCAUGGUUUGCCAAAAGGUCGAGCUCCAUUGUCUCAUGCCUAGAAAGUCCGCAGAUAUGACCUUUCAAGCAUCACACAAUAAUCAUUCUCCAUCAUUGAGUACCCCGUCAUUGUGCUUACUCUAGAAAACACCAAGAAGGAAAAAAGAAAGCUCAAUGACAUUUGAUCGAACACCUGCCGGGCGUGCUGUCCGCCAUGGACCGUGUCGACAGGUGGCCAGGGGAGGGGGCGGUAUCUGGCUGUGGACAAUUCCUGAGUGGAUGGUGGUAUAGUCCAAGGUGGAUAGGUGCAUGGGUUGGGCUGCGGACAUCCGGCAAUGCCUGGGCGGCGGCUGGAGAGAUACACCGACGGCGUCGGACGAGGACGGGUUGGGUGCAGAGCAAGGGCAGAGCAGAGACGAAGUGGGAGAAAAAUGAUCCAGCAGGAGGGGAUUUGAGUGGGCCGAGAGUGUUGGACGCAUACUUGGUGAAGGUCUGGGUGCCCACAAACCUCCUGGUUUGUGUCCGGUUUACAGGAAUGCAUACAAACGUACGCAUAUAUGGAUAAAUACAGAUAUCCGAACAACUCAGUUCAUCACAUCGUAUACUGGCGUUUCAAGGGUUUGGGAAUGCCUGCCCUCAAGGGUCAGGAGGAGGGAGGAGGGGAGGGGAGACCGGCAACACGAUCUAGGGUUCCCUCCCCGUCGCCAUGCGGGGGCGACGCGUCAGGGAGGAGUGUUGGUGUUUUUCCCCUCUACUGGUGCUAUAUAUAGUGUAUCCCUGCCGUUCUUGUAUACAUGACAUCAGUGAAUCAGGAUGUAUAAGAAGGUAGUCACGCAAGGGAUAAUAUUUUGAGCGUAAAGCGUAGAGAACUUUCCCGGGCGGCAUCAGAUGCUAAUCACAUGCGAGUUAUAGCCCUUUUUGUCUUUUAUGAAUGUGCCUUUUUAAAACGGAGCGAAAUUAAUCUAUAUAUAUACUAAUAUAAAAAGACCCAAAGAAACAUAUCCAAUUAAUCUCGGCCAUCAAAUCAUGUCAAUCCAAUAACCUAGACUGCUUCAAUGUUCGAGCGUUCAGCACGUUUAACGUGCAGUUAAUUUCAUGCCAAAAAUAGUGUUAAUCACAUAAUAACAUGCAAAAUAAUAUUCUAUUUAAUAUCCGCAUGCACUUAAUAUACUUCCAAAUUAACGUGCAUUGCACGUACACAUUGACUAGUCAUUAAGAAAAAGCAGAAACGACCAAAGCAUCAUUUGGUUUUACAGCUAAAAAUAUUUGUGUUGUGCAUGGAGAUGGAGACAGUGAUGGCGUACAAAUGAACAUAUAAUGUAAGCGUACAUGUGAAUUCUCUUCCAUGCGGCGUAUAAUGUAAGCUUACAUGUGAAUUCUCUUCCAUGCGGGCAUAUGGAAUUAUACCACAUGGUACGAAAGAUUUAGUCGGCCAUGUACUUCGUUCGAUUGUUGUUUUAUAUAUAAAGCGGGAUGAAAGUCAGUUUCGAGAGCUGCGGCUUGCAGGGCUGGAUGCAAAUGCCUAGCUUGUAAGGCCAGACUAAGAAUAAAGCUGCAUGUAUGCACAUAUAUUCUGCCUGGAAACGUAUGGACUUAAUUUAUUUAUUUUUGAGGAUUGAAAUGCAUGAACUUUACAUGAAGCAGCCAAAGUUUCUACAAACUAGCUAGGUGCAAUCAGCACAAAGUCCUCCACUUAGCCAAGUUUCUACUGACUGGGUGCAAUCAGCACAAAAUCCUCACCUCACCUUUGUAAUCCUGCUCAGUAAAUUACAGGUGCUUGAUUAAUCAUGGCUCCGUGUUGAGCUCGUGACACGCGUUUGAUUCACUUCGGUUUCUAAUGUCAGCUGAACUAACAAGCCGAGGUUGACUUGGAUGACAGUUACUCUCUUCGUUUUUAUUUACUCCGCAUAUUAGAGUUGACUGAAGUCAAACUUUCUAAAGUUUGACAAAGUUUAUAAAAAAAAUAUUUACCAUAACAAAUCUAUAUGAUGUGGAAGUACAUUUGAUAAUGAAUCUAAUGGUAUUGAUUUGUUAUUGUAUAUGUUAAUAUUUUUGUUUGUCAAAGUUUAUAAAAUUUGACUUUGACUAAAGCUAAUAUGCGAAGUAAAUAAAAACAGAGGAAGUACUAUUUUGUUUCCCUGCAGGCAUGCAUGGUAAUCCGCAUCUCACCCUGCAUAAAGAUCAUUGGAAUCAGAUCUAAUACCUUUCUUUGGCCGGUCACACACUCUAGCUAGGGUUCUUCGACGCAGGUUGCUUGCGUAGUUUUUUUUAGAAACAACAUUGACGUACACAUACAGUCACACCACCACACACACUCACACUCAAACAAAUGCCUACUGAAGGCCCGAUCGAAGUUGCGGGCUUUGAAAUUGAUGGAAUCACCACAUGUGUCUCGUUAUUUGAUAUUUACUUAUGAGUUAUGAAUAAAUAAUAUGAAAAACAAAUCUUAAGGGUUUUUCAAACCACAUUUAACAGGAGACGUUCCAUUCGGUUCAAACAUUUAAAAAUAUUUUUUUUCUUUGUUUAUUUUUGUGGUGCAACUAGACUUUGGUCAACUUAGUUAAUCAUACGGCAGUCCAAUAUCCGGGGUGGGCCCCGCCUGUCAUCGUGCAAGGCUACCAACGUCUCCGUCCCCCUCUUUCCAUCGCAGCCCACCUCCGCUAUAAAUACCACUCACUCAAAAUAAAAUAAUGAGCUCGACCGCCGACGGAAGCAGCUCGCGGUCGGCUCUCAGUCUACUCUCCGUCGCGUCGUCGACAGGCGCCGCGGCAGCAGCGGCCAGCGUCCGUCGGGAGACAGAGAUUUCCUCUUGGCGGGGGCCGAAUCCAAUCCGUAAGUCGAAAUCUCUCUCUGUGCUUGCUCUCGGAUCCCCACCCGCCCCCUACAGUCCCACAGUACUUCCCUGCUGCCAAUGCCCGCCUCGCCGCCGUUCCCGCCGUUUUCUUGGGGUCUCGGUGAGGAAUCCGAGGGUACUGGUUCUGGAUUGACCCCCCGGUAAUGGAGGCCCUGCUGGCUGUUGCCGCUGGGUUACUCCUGUGUGCCCGUCCUCAAGGUGUUCGAUGGAUUGUGGGCAGGGUGUUCCGUCCGGCUGGUCGAUCUCGUUCCAGUCCUUCCAGGUUCCAGCCCGUUUACAGUCAGUUGCUGAAAAUGUGCACGGAACGCAUGAAAAUGUAGGCUGUGCACAGGUUGUUUGCUUGCUUGCAAUUCCAAGCAUUGUUUCCUCUUUGCAGGAAGCAUAGUGCCACAAGUGGUCUGCUUGUUUGCUUGUGCUCAGGAAAAGAAAAAGUUGUAUCUUCUGUUUGUUUGCUUGCUGUCCGCUUCAGUGUUUGUUCCAUCUUAAGCAUGGUACAAGUAUAGUCGCUUUGUUUCGUGGGCAUAAUCCAAAGUUUGUGCGGAUGCAGCUUUUGUUCUCUCUUGCAUAGCGAAAGUGUGUGGAAACUGGAAUCUGUUGAGAGUAGUAUGGCCACGCCAAACGUUUUGGCUUUCACUUAAGGACCACACAUUGCUUCUUGACUUUCUUGGAUGCUUGCCGGCCCAGCCUUGGAACUGUACCUUCCUAGCUAGUAAUGGUGUAGAUAGAUGGUUAAUAUAAAUGAGGCACAGACCAAACCUUUGUGUUGCUUCCUAGAAAUGAGUGUAUUUCCUUAAUUUUUUUUUUGUCAAAACGUCUGUCGUUGUUCUCCCAAGUUGCUUUCUUGCGGUAUUCAAUCCAUUUUUUAUUACUGCAAUUGCUUCAUUCGAAUUGAGGUUUCAGUCCGUUUACCGUCAGUUGCUGAAAAUGUGCACGAAACGGAUGAAAAUGCCGGGACAUGCGCUCUUUGUUUACCGUUUAUACCGUCAUUUGUUUGGUUGCAGGAUGCACCCGGUCUUAAGCAUAGUAUAUAUAAAGUUGUAUGCUCUGUUUUGUUUGUUUGCUUGCUGUCUGAGGAUUGAGACAAGGGCAUAAUCCAAAGUUUGGCACCUGCUCCUGCACAUUUAUGUGUUGGAAACUGGAAUCUGUUCAGAGUAGUAUGGCCACGCCACAUGUUUUGGCUUUAACUCAAGGACCACAUUGCUUCUUGACUUUCUUGGAUGCUUGUUGGCCCAACUUUGCAACUCUACCUUCCUAAUAGUAGUAUAAAUCAGGCACAUACAAUUUUUUUUGUGUUGCUUGAGAUUUGGUGUAUUUACUUAAUGUGUUUAGUUGAAUCAUCUGUCAUUGUUCUCCCAAGUUGCUUUUCCUCGCGAUAUUCAAUCCGUCGGGUUUUUAAUUACUGUAACUGCUUCAUUCAAAAUUGAUAUUUGCUUCUUUGUUGUUGUUUUCCUUUCAACGCUUGGGCUGAGGCUUCAAAUAAUGGUGCUCUUUAACAUGGACUUUGUUACUUUAGAGAAUGCAAGAAUUAUGCAAUUGUAUCAUGAUAACAUCUGCUCUAUGUUUUUUCUACAGGGAGUUUCCAACACAUAAGUAGUUUGCUAACAUGAAGACAAGCAUCCAGUAGACUUUGCACCAUUUGAGUCACAAUGGAGAUAUCUUUUCUCAUGUUGUUGGUUCUCUCUCUGCUUCUGUUUCCUAAUGGCAUCUGCAAGGGUUUAGCUGCGAGGCCUCCUGUUGUGAAUAUUGGGUCUAUUCUUCAAUUUAACUCCACCACUGGAGGUGUUGCCGCGGUUGCCAUCCAUGCAGCCUUGGAAGAUAUCAACUCUGAUCCAACAGUUCUAAAUGGAACUACACUAAAGGUUCAAAUCAAGGAUACAAAUUGCUUUGAUGGUUUCCUUGGCAUGGUUCAAGGUACGCUAGCUUUAAUGUCACGCAUUCAUUUGGCAUUGUUGAAAUAGUUUUUGCUUCUCUUGUGGAAUUGUGACAAUGAUACCGUAUUCCUUGUAUCAGCUUUGCAGUUCAUGGAGACUGAUGUUGUUGCACUCAUUGGCCCUCAGUGCUCUACAAUUUCUCAUAUCAUUUCAUAUGUAGCAAAUGAGCUUCGAGUCCCUUUGAUGUCCUUUGCUUCUGAUGCAACUCUUUCAUCGAUACAAUUCCCGUUCUUUGUCAGGACUGGUCCCAAUGACCUCUAUCAAAUGGCGGCUGUGGCAGAAGUUGUUGACUACAACCACUGGAAGAUUGUGACUGCCAUAUACAUUGACAAUGUUUAUGGUCGAAAUGGCAUUGCUGCUUUGGAUGAUGCACUUGCUUUAAAGCGCUGCAAAAUCUCCUACAAAGUUGGGUUUCCUUCCAAUGCUAAAAGAAGUGAGCUCAUAAAUUUGUUGGUUAGUGUCAGUUAUAUGGAGUCUCGUGUUAUCAUUCUCCAUACUGGAGCUGAACCUGGACUCAAGCUUUUCUCUAUGGCAAAACAACUGAACAUGAUGGGCAACGGCUAUGUGUGGAUUGCAACUGACUGGCUGUCUGCAUAUCUUGAUGCUAAUUCAUCAGUUCCUGCUGAGACUAUAUCUGGCCUGCAAGGUGUUCUUACUUUACGGCCACAUAUCCCCAACUCAAAGAUGAAGAGUAAUUUGGUCUCCAAAUGGAACAAGCAAAGUAAAAAGUCCAACUAUAGUGAUCUUCGUGUAAAUACUUACGGUUUUUAUGUUUAUGAUAGUGUCUGGGCAGUAGCUCGGGCUCUGGAUGCCUUCUUUGAUGAUGGUGGUCGGAUUUCCUUUUCAAAUGACUCGAUGUUGCAUGAUGAAACUGGAGGAACUCUUCACCUUGAAGCAAUGAGCAUUUCUGACAUGGGAAAUAAAUUAUUGGAGAAGAUUAGAAAGGUAAACUUCACUGGGGUGUCUGGGCAAGUGCAAUUCGAUGCUGGAGGCAACCUAAUUCAUCCUGCAUAUGACAUCAUAAACAUCAUCGGAAAUGGCAUGCGGACCAUUGGUUUUUGGUCAAAUUAUUCUGGCUUGUUGUCGACUGUCUCUCCAGAGGCUCUAUAUUCAAAGCCUCCUAAUAUUUCUCUCGCUGAUCAGCAUCUCUAUGAUGUUAUUUGGCCUGGGGAGACUGCACAGAGGCCUCGAGGAUGGGUUUUUCCUUCUAAUGCCAAGCAGUUGAAAAUUGGUGUUCCCAACAGAUUUAGUUUCAAAGAGUUUGUCACGAAAGACAAUUCUACUGGGUCAAUGAAGGGUUAUUGCAUCGAUGUCUUUACUCAGGCAUUGGCUUUGCUUCCUUAUCCUGUUAGUUACAAGUUUGUACCUUUUGGGAAUGGUACUGAAAAUCCUAAUUAUGACAAACUCGUACAGAUGAUUGAAUCAAAUGUAAGUAUGGAAUGCCUUUUUUCUUCCUCUAACCAUUUCAUCAUCUUUAUCGAAAAAACCAUUUCAUCAUACCAUGCUGACCAGGGGGGGUCUUAUCCUGCAGGAAUUCGAUGCCGCUAUAGGGGAUAUCGCAAUUACAAUGAGGCGGACAGUAACUUUAGAUUUCACCCAGCCAUUCAUUGAAACAGGCUUAGUUAUCUUGGCUCCGGUUAAACAGCAUAUAACAUCGUCCUGGGCAUUCUUGCAGCCAUUUACUUUGCAGAUGUGGUGUGUUACAGGGUCGUACUUCCUUAUUGUGGGUGUGGUUGUUUGGGUUCUUGAACAUCGGAUCAAUGAUGAUUUCCGUGGUUCAGUACGUCAACAAAUAAUAACUAUUUUCUGGUAAGGAGCUGACUUGCACCUUUUGUAUCGUCUUCUUGUAGUAUAUCAUUCCUGUUUUCUUAGAAAUGUUGAUGUUUCGACAAGUCUUGUGCAAUAUGUUUGCAUACAGCAAGCACCUCAGAACAGUUGCCAGUUAACAUACCCAAAUGAAGCAUCUAGUGAUUACCAAGGAACUACUCCCUCUGUUCACUUUUAUAAGGCCUUGAAGACAUUUCAGACAAGGUGCAAAGUAGCUCAUUUUCAGUUGUCUGAAACGACUUAUAAAAGUGAGCGGAGGGAGUAUUAUCUUAAUGGUCUUGUGAAACGUAUAUAUGCACAGUAUGUAUUCGCUUAAUGAUAUUUAUGAUGCAUUGCUCAAUUUUUUUUUCUGUUUUCACAUACUUCUCCACAUGUAUUACAAAUGUUCUUAUCAUGGCGUGAUUCCUUGCUCUCAGAUGUGAUUAUAAUUUCUAUUUUUAUUGCCUGCAGGUUCAGCUUUUCGACGUUGUUCUUUGCACACAGUGAGUAAACCAACCUUCUCUAUUAUGUGUUUUUUUGGCCAUAGGUAACAUUUUGUUCUGAGGCAUGGCUCGUGAUUUCAUCUGUAUCUGCCCGCAGGAGAAAAUACUAUGAGCAGCUCAGGGCGUGGUGUCCUGAUCAUAUGGCUGUUUGUUGUUUUGAUAAUUGUAUCCAGCUACACCGCGAGUCUUACUUCCAUCCUGACCGUGCAACAACUUGAUACUUCUAUAAAAGGAAUCGAUGACCUGAAAAGUAGCAAUGAUCCUAUUGGUUUCCAAGUUGGUUCUUUUGCACAAGACUACAUGGUCAAGGAGCUCAACAUCUCACGUUCAAGGCUGAGAGCUCUCAGUUCACCACAAGAAUACGCUGAAGCCCUCAAGCUAGGCCCCAAGGAAGGAGGUGUUAUGGCCAUUGUUGACGAGCGCCCCUAUGUUGAACUGUUUUUGUCAACCUACUGCAAGAUUGCGGUAGCUGGCACAGAUUUCACCAGCAGAGGAUGGGGCUUUGUAAGUACAUUUGAACCAUAUUCUUUAAUGUAGAUUUGAAUAUGAGAACAAAAUAUUUUGAAGUUAAUAUCCUGGAAUAGCAGUUUUAACUUUGAAUAGUUGUGUCAACUAUCUAGUUUAUUAUGCAACUUCAUUUGCACCUGUCUGCGGCUGCAAGUCUAAAAUCUACACCUACUUUGUUUCACAAAUCAAAAUGUAGCGCCUUACAAGUUCAUUCUACCAGGCAUUUCCAAGGGACUCCCCUUUGCAAGUAGACCUCUCCACCGCAAUCCUGUCAUUGUCAGAGAAUGGGGAACUGCAGCGAAUCCAUGACAAGUGGCUCAAGACAGGGGAGUGCGCAACUGACAACAGCGAGUUCGUUGACUCGGACCAGCUCCGCCUUGAGAGCUUCCUUGGUCUGUUCCUAAUCUGUGGCGUUGCAUGCAUCCUCGCGUUGCUAAUCUACUUUGGUAUCAUGCUACGCAAAUACCUGAGGCAUGACCAGAGGAAGAGCCUGAGAAGAUUCAUCUCAUUCGUCCAUGGCAAGGAUCCGCCGAAGAACAACGAGAGGCGGUCCAUGAGCCUGCUUGGAAGCUCGACGCCGGCAACGCCGAUGAGCAGCCUUACUACCCUUGAGAUAGAAAGGCCGGCCAGGGAAGUCAGAAAUGGCAGCGUUAUUGAAAUGGAAAGCUAGUUCAUGUGUACAAAGCUAGUUUGUGCGUUAUCUCUCAAGGCAGCUGGGUAACUGUUUUGUGUGAAGCAACAAUACGGCCGACUAACCUAGGUCCCGGUAACCUAGGUUGGAAAGCCAAACACCAGGGAUGUAUAGAGGGGUUUCAAAUACUUCUUAAAGGAAGGAUUGAUAAUAAAAAUUAAAAAUAUCGAAAUGCUCCUCUCUCCCACAUAGAUCACUUUAUUCUUUGCAUGACUGUAUUUUUUGGGGAUAUCUUGCCACUUCAGAGUUGGCGUUUGGUGGUGUGAUCUGUGCAUGUGUUCAAUUGCGCGUAGUGUGGUUAUUCCAAGUUAGUACGAUUGUGUCACUUCAGUUUGAUAGUAUGCAGGGACAGAACCUGCCGGCUGCAGCUAGUACGGUUUGAUAUGUGACGAUGCCUGUAGAUUGUGGUACUAAACUUUGAUGCUUGUUCAUAAACUAGUUUAGAUGGAGCCACCCAAAAGAUAUGUUAGUUUUUCUUUUUUUGGCUUAGAUACUCUGUUUUGUCUGUGUUCUGUUCAGGGCAACUUUGAAGCUUAUCUUAGGGUGGUGGACAGAAAAAUGUUUAGCACCUUCCACAACUCAUAAGGAAGAUAAUUAAAAAGAGUGUAGGAAGAAAUAGUUAUGAUCUUAUUAGGAAAGCUAAGAAGAAAGCCAACACUAGGUUUUUGUUUUUCUAACUCUAUGGCUACACUGUAAAAUUAUUUAUAGAUUAGCUCCAAUUGAUGCAAAUCUUUUUGGUGGGUCUGGGAUGCGACUGAGUCAGAUCAAUCCCAAGUUACUCCCUCCGUCCCAUAAUAUAGGAUGUUAUUACAUCUAAUAUGUGAGCAUAUUAGGUGUAAUAACGUCUUAUAUUAUGGGACAGAGGGAGUAGCUACUUGUCUCUCUCAAAUUUUACUGGAACACCGAGGCACUGGUCUCAAAAGUGGAAAUUCUUGCAGGUUUGUAAUGCAUCUGUUUUGGUCCUUGCGUUCACCUCUGAGAAAUAUACCAUACCAAUCACAAUUUUUGUUAGUAAUGGAGUGGUAGGCAGAUGCAAAACCAAGCAAUCAUUUUCCUUCUAAAGACACUUGUAAAAGCAUCAUGAGUGUCUAUUCUAAUGGAGUGGUAUACAGACAUAUAAUUGUUGCAGGGAUGCUGCAACUUCCUGGAGCAAGGCCAUAGUGGUACUAGGUUUGUCUAUUCUAGUGAUACUGGGUUUUCUUUUCUGAUUUCUUCUAAUUUAAUAGUUAUGCCAGCUACAUUAUGAGUGCCAGCUCUGCAGUAACUUUUUUUGCGAGGCAUAACAACUGGAUUAUUGUUCAUACAGGGAAAACAGAAACGAGUAUGAGUGCCUUUUUAUUUAAUUUAGUCAUAAUAGUUGACUUAAAAUAUUGUAUAUUAAAUGUGGGUAGGAGAUUCCUGUAUUUUUAUUGAAAACGGAACAGCAACAAUAGGAAGAGUUUUUUUUUUACAUGAUGGAGCGAUUAUUUUCCUAAGAAAAAUAUAUAAUGUAUAUAUAUAUAUUUCUCAUUCUGUUCAAUACCUGGUUUAGGAAGAGCUCUUUUUCCUAUGCAAAAUGUAUAACAUGUAUGUUUAUAGUUCUGAUUGCAGGCAUAUUCGUCGCGCUCGCCCUGUGUCUUGACGUUCCGCGAGGGACCAAGCGGGAUACGCCACGGGUUUUGCUGUUACUAAGAUACUUCGAUAUCAGUAGCACCUGUUCUAUUUAUCUGUCUUUUUUUGUGUUUUGACGCACAGCCUGCUCUGUUAUACAUAGUUACUGGCAUGACUGGUUUCAUCGCUGUUCGCUCUGUGUGUAAUGGAGAAGUAGAGCCGAUAAGUAAGCCUGCUUACCUAGUCCCUUUUGUUUAGUCCUGGGAUGAGAGAAAAUAACUGACAAUCUGGACCAGCCUGCCUUUGAAGUGCGAAACUUGUUUGUCACUGACUGUUUUCGCGAUUGGCAGUUGCUGGAGUUCACUGAGUCGAUAGUCGGAGAGGACGCAGAACAGGAGAGCAAAAAGGUGGAUUAGGGCUUUCCCUAAGGUGUGCUUUCAGGUAUUUUCAGUUUUCUUGUUAAGGAAUCAAGUUAUGAUUUUGUCUGUCAAGACCCUAUAUUCAUGGAGUGAGACGUUGUUCUGAAUUCCGACGCACUCAGAAAGUUUCGUCGCGGAAUUUCUUCUGGAAAAUAUGUGUAUGUAUUCCAGUUGUAUCAUUAGUAACCCAAGGCCAUAUAUAUAGCACGAAGAAUGUUUUCUUGAUUCGUUCGGUCUGACAAGACAUACAUAUAUUCUGCCGUGAAGCGAAUUAGGUUCGUUGCUGACCGGCAAAGUAAGGGCCGUUUCUGCAUCUAUAUAGGCUAGCUAGGCAAUCUGCCCUCAAGGUUGGGGGGAGUUGGAGAUUGGGGUCUCGAAUUGAGCUUAUAUUAGAAUCCUUUGAUUGGCUCAGAGACAUGGGAAUUAAGGAGCCAAGGGGAAGAGGAAUUAAGAGGCCCAGCUCCCUCAGAUUUCUUCCCUGGACGACCCCUGGUAAUUGAACUAGGGAUCGGGAAUCGACAGAAAAAGAUACUACUGACGUGCUGUUAGUUGGGCACGUUUGUAAGGGAAAGGCAUCAUUAAAAGUUGCUUAUUCCUCUGCCUAUGCCCACCAACCAAAUAGUGGUAGUUAACUCGCUUUUAAAUUCUCAAUUCUAAUUGCCUUCACAUACCAAACAGAGGAAUGGGACUUUAAAAUCAAUGUCCAUGUCUAAUGCCUUGGCAAACUCCCAUUCUCUCUCCCUCUAUUGCUGCCGAACACGCUGUAAAAUGAAGUCAUUUCUGCUAAUCCAGAUGCUCCAGGCUGCCAAGAUAAUCGAUUCCAGUUCCAUACCUGAUUUAGCAACAACUCUUUUUCCUAUGCAAAAAGUAAAAUCUAUACCAUGCUUCUAGUUCCGACUGCAGGCAUGUUCGUCGCGCUCGCACCAAGAGCUGUCGCUUCAACAACGCUUUUCUGGGAUACGCCACAGGCCUGCCAGUAAAAAGAUGGUGGCGACGAACUGGUUUCGAGCCACACAGGUCAGUUCUGCCAUUACUAAUACAUCAUGGCAUCUUGUUGCUCUCGGUCGAUGCCCUGUCAUCUCUGGAAAAAAUAUCAGCAGCACCUGUUUUGUUUCCGAAUUGUUGUUGGGUUUUGAUGCGCAGCCUGCUCUGUUGUAGCACAUCGUUCCUGGCGUGUGGCUGGUUUUGUUGCCGUUCACUCUCCGUUGAAUGGAGAAGUGAAAGCGGGCAAGUAAGCCUGUAUACCUUUUCCCUUUUAUGUAAUUCUGUAGUCCAUUGAUUCUUGAUCUGACUGUGUAGACAAGGGAGAAUGUCACCGUACUGUUCGCUGGUGACUCGCCCAUGGCAAGUCACCUGAUCUCAAUCUCCCCCAACCCCACCUCACCACCCACAAUGAUAAUUUUGUUUUCGAGACAUCUAUAAUACGUAAAUAGUUCAUCCCUACUAUGUUAUUUCUCUUGACAUGCAGUCUAUCCACCUCAGCACAGCUGCCACAUCCGCAUUUUAUUAGUGGCUUACAUGUGGGACCCACCACAGGUUGACCAGGGUACAGAACAACCACAUCAUCAUUCGGUUACCAGCUGUAGAGACCCACCACUGCCUCCACAGUGUAAACCAACGGGGUACAGAACCUCAAAGAAGAACAGCGUACAGACAACCGUCCCUCUCCCUCGAUUCAGCCGAAUCCACGAGCCCCUUUCCCACUGUUACACUUUACACACCGGCGCGGCGGCCGGGAUCCCAUCUCACGCCCCUCCGGCAGGACCACCACCCGGGCUUCCCUCUGCAAUUUAGCCGAACCCAUUCACCCCCUUUUCCCCUGUGUACAGCCCGGCGCGGCGGCCGGGAUCCCAUCUCACGGCCCUCCGGCGGUACCACCGGCUCGGCUCCCCUCUGCUGUUCCCCGGGGACCGCUAGGGCUAUGAUCCCCUUCUACGUGUGGUGCCAUGGUCUGGAGCUAUUUCCGUGGUGCCAAAUCCAGACCGCGCACCUAUUUUAGCCACCGCUGCCCCCACGGGUCAGCGUUCUCUCAUCAUGAUCUCCCCCGGGUGAACGCCUCUCUCUUUUCUGGUGUUCUUGGUGUUCUUGGUUUUAAGUCAAGCUGCGUGCACAGUUGUACAUUACGGGGUUGAUUCACAUAUAUGUGUAUCCUUUUACAAGUCUGGCGUUUGUUUGCAACUAGAUAUAUAAACACCGUGUGUCCAUAUGGUUGGGGUACGGAUUUAGAGAACACCAUUGUUGUUAGAGAUUUCAUCAGAAUACAAUGUAUUGGGUUGUUGACAGAUAUCUUUUCAACAACAUUGGCCUGCUUAGUACAUGAUAUCUUUAGCGUAGCUUUAUUUAUCUGAUUUUUUUUCCUGAUUGGCAAAUUUGAUAACUAAAAAUCUCUUUUUCAUCAGGUCACUGCGGAAGAUUAUAAUUGUUUCUAAUCCCGCUCUCUAUAUACUCCCAAGGUAUGACCUUUUGAACUAUUGUGUAGUUUCGUUUCAGCAGUAAAAGUUCAGAAACCCCAAUUUAGGGCCUGUUCGUAUUCACUCCACUCCGUCAGAUCCUUAGCUCCACUCCCAGCUCCUAGGUUGCUAGCUCCACAGGGCAAACGAGGAGCAGACAACUUGUUCGGCAACUAACUCCACUCUGCACUCUGGAUUACAGGCCCCCCACAACACAUCAAGCUGGUUUGAUACUGGUCAGUACGUGGAUCACUUGUUGUGCCAAUGAUGCAACACAGUGCAGAAAAAAUGCACAAAUAUGCUGAGUUUACUGAAAAUAAUGCUGAAGUUUCACACAUAAUUUUUUUGUGCAAAAAUUCACUUUAUCGCACAAGAACGAUUCAGCAUGAGUUUGCUGAAAUUACAUGAUUUUAGCAACAUAGACAAAUAGGAUUUUUCAUAAGAUAAACACAAACAAAGGCAGCAUAAACACAUGUACUUUGUAGACAUCACUCUAGUCCAGUGGAGGUCCUGCAGAAACAAUUUUCAACACAUGAAAACCUUUAUGCAAUGCUGGUGAUUGCUUGAAUAGAACCAAAAACAUAUAUACUCUGCUUCGGAUGGUUUCACCUACAAAAUUACGAAAUUUGUUAAUAGGUACAGAUACAUAUCAAUUGUGAAAGAAGCAAAUCAUGUUGUGAUUGAACUAGCUAAGAACAUCUUCUGGAUUCUAGACUUAUGCAUCUUGCUACAAGGAAAUAAAUGACAAGUAAUAUUGUGACUAAUAUUUCAGCUACUGACAAAGACAGUGAACAGUUUCGACAUGUUUGGAGACAACAUUCACUUGUUUAACUUUACGACCAGUCAUCUAUGAGAAAGCAUGAAUUUAUCAAGCAAGGUAAAAACUAAAGAAUUGUAGCAAAUAAAAACACAUGAAUGCUGUAGAAACUAGUAUACUCACAUUUAUAGCAGAACUGGAAGUCACCAACCAAGAGCAAUAUCAGUUGCUAGUCUAUUACGGAACCGGUCCAUGUCUUUAUCACUAGUCUCCGAGGUUGACGCAUCCGAUGCAUUCGGAGGGAUGGCAUACCGUUGAUACCUUGAAGGGAUAGUUGGGACAUAGUUGGGAUCUCUGUCGACUCGAAGAAAGUGAAGAUCCCCCUUAUCAUGAUAUCGAACGUAGUUGUGGAGGGCCAUAGUUGCAGCCACUAUCAUCUUUUGAGUUUCAACUGAAUAAUUGGGCAUCUUUAGUAGAAUCUGCCACUUCAUUUUCCACACACCAAACGCUCUCUCGAUCACAUUACGCUUGGAUGAGUGUAUCUCGUUAAAUUUCUCCUUAGGUGUUCUUGGCGCCACACCUCGUUGAAAAUCAGGCACGUGGUACCUUUCCCCCUUGUAAGGUGCGAGAUAUCCAGGUCUAUUAGGAUAGCCCGCGUCCACAAGAUAGUACUUACCUACAAACAACAAGCAGAUUGCAUGUAAGGCCUAUGAUUUGUUUACAGAAUUUAAAUAAAAGAAAUUAUUAUAGGAACUACUAACCCUUUGGAGGAUGAGGGAAGGUAUCUUUGUCAGCUUCAAUUGCAUGAUACAAGACACCGGUAUCAUGCAUAGAGCCGGGUUGACCAACUGAAGUGUACAUGAAAUGCAUGUCAAAAUCACAUAUUGCCAGAACAUUCUGUGUUGUUGAUCCUGACCUUCCAAUGUAUCUAACUUCAUCGCCAGCAGGAAUGGUAGCUCUGACGUGAGUACCAUCUAGUGCGCCGAUGCGGUCCUUAAGAUGUGGAUAAGCCCUUCUAUCCUUUUGAAUCCUUGGGUGCACACUACUAAAGUUUGGGUCCUUAGGUUUCAGGUAAUCUGCUGCCAUCUUAAUCACACAGAGUAAAACCUCAUGAAACUUCCGGUGGACUGUAUCUCCUGAGUGCUUGAAACGAUUUUGUGUUCUCCUAUUAGACUCGCAACCCCCUAAAGUCCACAAGAACAUUGCAAGCGCCUCAUAACUGCUCACGAAACAGGUUGAUUUGAAGCCAUACCUUUUGACCAACAAGUCAUGCAAUUGAAAGAAGAGGCGUGCGUUCAUCCUCAACAUGGUAUAUGUUUCUCCAGGUGUUGACACUGUCUCUUGCAGCCAUCCGAACCCACUAAGAAUAGAAUUCCUUGGGUCUGCCUUGAUCAAAUAGUUGUCACAGUACUUCCCUGCAAGUGUUGAUGCACUGGCAUAGAUGUUGGACAUUGAUUGGACAUGGUGGCAUACCCUCUUCUUCCUUUCUUCAUAACUAUCACUAUCAUUGUCACUAUCCGAUGACAUCUGAACAUACACAAGUAACAACAAUUAGUACUUAAUUAUCAACCAGAUUAGUCAUAGCAGAAAGAUAAGUAAGAAUCAUAUGUAACAUUAAAGACAAGUCAUAUGUAACAACAUUUAUCAUGUAACCAUCAGCAAGAUGAGUCAUAGCAGUAAUAUAAGUAAAAUUAUACAUUAAUUGCAAGCAUUACAAUUUAACACAUAUCGAUGAACAAUCAUCAACCAUGCUCCUAGUUACAUACCAGCAAAGACCAUGGUGAAAAAGAAUCAGCACAGCUACUGUAGUACAAACAAAUAAUAAUGUCUUAAGAAAAUCCUGAAACAAAUAAUAAUUUCUUAAGCAAUCUCAAUACUAACAUAUUUCAAAGACAAGUAAUAUUGACUCAACUGCACUAGCUAGAGUUUAUGAGCAUCGGAGCAGAUAUCAUAUCCUAUUCUCUCGCUAAAGGAAAAAUAAUAGUUACAGGUUAUAGGCAGAGAAGGGGUUCACUAGCUAGUUCACUCCAUCCAUGUCAAUCAAGGCAAAUAAAAGAAACAGAUGCAAUACGUAUAUGUUUGCAACAUCCAUGAUAAUCAUGUAGUGUGUAUUUGUUAUCUCUGAAGAAAAGGAAACUCUAUCUGUCUCUAUGCACUCUGUCGCUCAUCUCCUUUCUAUACCAACUCCCCUAAUUCAUCCCCUUCCUCUCAAUUUCCUCACAUAAUCCUUGCAGGAAUUAUAGACAUGUUGUACUACUACUUACUGGAAUCAAGAACCAAGAAUCAAGAACACCUGGAACUAUUCAGGAAUAUGAAUCAAGAACAGUAGAGGAACAAGGGUGAAGAGGAGAUAUGGAUCUCACCUUGAUGGAUGUGAUGUAGGCGUGGAUGCCGACCUUGCAAACGACGAAUCCGAGCUGCCGGGGACGAGGACGAGGCCCUGGUGAUCUCAGCCGCCAGAGGUCCACUCAAACCGUAUGCCCUCAAAGUGGUUGCCGAACAGAAAAGCCGCCUUGGAUGAGGAGGGGGGCGAGGAGAUGGCGAGGUCGCAGGGGCAUGGAUUUGGCCGAAGGGGAGCUGGGGAUCCGCGGCGGCGGGGUGGCGGCGGGCGGCGGCGCAGCGCUAGGGUUCCAUGGUCACGGGAGGACAGGGGAGUCGCUGCACGGGGGAGAGAGAAAAGGAUCGAGUGAAGCGGUAAGUUGUGCGGGGAGUGGCACGCGGAGCUCGGUUUCGCUGACUCCGCUGAAUUGAACUACGGUCUUGUCCGCUCCGCUCUUCCUACUUCGUGGAGUCGGACCGUUCGGCACUGCUCUGUCCGCUCCGGGAGCAGAGUCGGGGAGCGGAGUGAAUCCGAACACGCCCUUAGUUAAAAAAAAGUUCUAAACUCUCAAAUAGCCUGCGAGCAGAAUGUUGCAGGCUUUGUCCGGCGUUGCCAGAUACAUGUUGUGAGUGGUAUCUGUUUCCUUGACUACAAAUUCAGAGUUCAUUUGAAUUCUUGCCACCGGUCUUUGUGUUAGAGCCAACAUCACUGCAUCUGUGGGCGACAGCACACACCACUUGCAGUUGCUACCUUCUCUCUUUCAAGCUCGGCAUCAGUAGUGUGCCUUCCUGGUCCAACAACUGGUGUUUUCUCUCUGAUGACUCUCCAAUCUGCAUAUUGGAUUUUGUUCCCUGCUCGUGCUAAACAAAGAGUGGCCCUUGGACCAUUGCCUGCCUGACAUGGAUGUACCCCCGUUUUAAUCUGAAGAAUUCAGUAUUGGUGUUUAAUUCUGUAAAUUUUUAUUUUACAUUUUUUUGAUCCAAACUUGCUAGGUUUCCUGACGAUGUGUGGUAAGACGUCUUUUAUCAAGCCAUUUUGGAAUUCUUAAGAAGGUAAGGAUGUUUCUCUCUUUUGUAACAUUUAGAAUAUUUUUCAGCUAGUUGUAGCUAUUUUUACUUGCUUUACCCAGUUAUUUUUCUGCAAUGAUUGGCCAUAUUAAUUCCCUCUAUCUAAUUCCGUCAACUAGAUCAUGCGCGGGUUCGAACAGAUUUAUGAAAUUGCUAUUUUUUUCUGAUAGUAACUCGGGUAUAACACCUAUUGUAGUACGGUUAUGUUAUAGUAGAUAUAGGCCCUGUUUGGUUCAGCUUUUAUCGACGGAUUCCGCUGUCGCGCAGCAGAAUCUGAACCAAAGGGCGAACCCAGCAAAAUCCGAUUCCAGAAAUCCGCGGCCAAAAUCUGAACCAAAAGCGGAAGCAACCCAGGACGUGCUUUCCAAAAUCUGAUUCCGCUGCGGGCCAAAAUCUGAAAAAGCUGUAUCAGCUGGUUUGCCAAAUGACCCACAUCUUUUUCACAUCAGAUUUUCCACAACUAUUUUUCCACAGCAGAUUUUUCACAGCUGCUUUUAGAAAUCCACAACCGAACCAAACAGGGCCAUAAGGAGAAGUUGUUUGAUUUCAUGUGGUGACCCCCCUUUGCCCAAAAAUUACUGAUAGCAUUUUGUUUUUUGUUUGUUUCAUAUGGCAUCAUUCUAUUAUUUCCGGCAGUAUUUAGACUAAAUUGGAGAGGGAGAACAAACUUGAUACACUAAGCAAGCAAUGUCGGUCAUCUGAGGGCUUGGGCGCCUGUUGUUCCAAGUUCGCGAGGUACUAAGAGCAUCUCCAGCCGUUGGCCCCCCUAGGACGCGUAAAAAUCGCCCCCCGGGGGCGAGCCGGCGACACAAUCGGCGCUGGGGGCGGUUUUGCGCCCAGUCAUCGCCCCCAGGUGCCGAAAUUGGCCCACUUUUCAGCCCCAUUUCGGCGAAUAAAGGGCCCAUAUGGGCGAGAAUAGGCCCAUAUUCGGCGUGGUUCGCCGUGGCUCGGCGUUCAAUUAUCAAUGUAAUUUUUUUCUUAUAACAUAUUUCAUCACAGAAAAAUCAAAUACUUCAACAAAACAGUACAACAACAAAUAGUUCAAUACAAAUUAUAUAGUUCAACAAAUAAAAACUCAUAUUUCAUCACACGUCGCGCCCGGCGUCCCCCUUGAGCCUCCAUAGGUGCUCAAUCAGAUCUUUCUGCAGUUGAUGAUGCACCUGUGGGUCUCGGAUCUCCUGACGCAUACUGAGAUAGGGAGUCCAGGUUGCCGGUAGCUGGUGAUCAACUUCGGCUAGAGGACCCUGCCUGUAGUAUGGUUCAGUGUCUAACACUGGGUCUUCUUGCUCGCUCUCGAUGAUAAUGUUGUGCAAGAUGAUACAGCAAGUCAUAAUCUCCCACAUUUGAUCUUUCGACCAGGUUUGAGCGGGGUACCGGACAACAGCAAAUCGAGAUUGGAGCACACCAAAUGCCCGCUCGACAUCUUUCCUGCAAGCCUCCUGAAUCUUCGCAAACCAGGCGUUCUUGCCUCCUGGCACAGGGUUUGAGAUCGUCUUCACAAAUGUCGACCAUCUUGGAUAGAUGCCAUCAGCUAGAUAGUACCCCUUGUUGUAGUGCCGCCCAUUGGUCUCGAAGUUCACCGGAGGAGAAUGACCUUCAACAAGCUUGGCAAAGACAGGAGAGCACUGCAGCACGUUGAUGUCAUUGUGAGUUCCUGGCAUACCAAAGAAGGAGUGCCAAAUCCAGAGGUCCUGUGUGGCCACCGCCUCAAGUACCACACUGCAACCGCCUUUGGCGCCUUUGUACAUCCCCUGCCAAGCAAAUGGGCAAUUCUUCCAUUUCCAAUGCAUGCAGUCGAUGCUUCCAAGCAUCCCAGGAAAUCCUCUUGCUGCAUUUUGUGCUAGGAUCCGAGCAGUGUCUUCCGCAUUGGGUGUUCUCAAGUAUUGCGGUCCAAACACAGCCACCACUACCCGACAGAACUUGUAGAAGCAUUCUAUGCUGGUGGACUCGGCCAUGCACCCAUAGUCGUCGAGUGAAUCACCGGGAGCUCCGUAUGCAAGCAUCCUCAUCGCUGUCGUGCACUUCUGGAUCGAGGUGAAUCCAAGUUUGCCGGUGCAAUCCAUCUUGCACUUGAAGUAGUUGUCUAACUCCCGGAUGGAAUUCACAAUCCUGAGGAAGAGCUUUCGGCUCAUUCGAUAACGGCGCCGAAAUGUUUUGUCGCCGUGAAGUGGAGCAUCGGCGAAGUAGUCGGAGUAGAGCAUGCAGUAGCCUUCGAGACGAUGCCGGUUUUUUGCUUUCACCCGCCCCGGCGCCGAGCCACCUCGCCGCGGCUUUUCAUUGCUCACCAGCAGCUGGGCGAGGGCGGCGAGCACCAUCAGAUGCUCUUCUUCCUGGACGUCGGCCUCGGCUUCCUCCUCCAGCAACCCGGCGAGCGCUUCCUCGUCAUUCGAGUCCAUCGCCGAGGCAGACAAAUCGCCGAACACCUUGCGCUCAGUGGGCGUGCACCCGCCGCUAAACUGCCCCUCUGCGGCCGGAAACGCCCAGCUGCUGUUGGAGGGGCUGCCGCGACAAACCUCUGCUAUUUUUCCGGCGGGGAAUGGCUAUCUAGCGGUGAAGGGCGGCGGGCGGCGCCGGGAUAUAGCUAGUGGCGGCCGAGGGCGCGGGGGGUGGAAGGCGAGUUGGGGAAGAAAAUCUUGACUUUUCACCUGAGGGUGUGGGCCAGCAGCGCUUUUCCCUUGCGCCGGAGCCCCCGAUCGCCCCCCAGUGCGCCGGGUUCGGCCUGCGCGCGCCGGGCGGAAAAAAGGGCCGAACCGGCGCUUUUCGUCGUCCUGGGGGCGCGACCAGGGCGUUUUUUUGGCGCCGACGCCGAAAAAGUGGCCUGGGGGGCCUGUUGGGGGUGCAGCUGGAGAUGCUCUAACUGUACUUUGAGGAAUAUCAUUUAGUGUCUGCCAAAGUCUAUUGAUGCGUGUACAGAAUAUCAACAAACGUAACAUACUCAUUCAUUGUAAUGUAAUACAAGAAUAUUUGAAUCUAUUGUAUCAAAAUGUGAUCUAUACAGUAACAAGUUGUGCGAAAAUCUAAAUGGUCAAGAUAUUUUUUUUUUGCGAGUAAUCUGAAUGAUCGAGAUGAUUGCUAUAUCUCUCUUUUUCACGGGCUGAGACUGCUGUGUCAGCUGGACUUUCUCUCAUCCCAAUGCUUGAGCGGACGACCAUGAUUUAGGGUGCAGCUGAGUGUGGGCACCAAAAUGCCCGUCCCCUUAAAAUUAUGCUAUUUAUAUCACCUUCCGUGAUGUUGUCUGUGAUAUUGGGUUGUUCUCAUCUAACACAAUUUUUCAGCAUAUCAUCGUGGUUCAUUAAUUCUCGACAUUUCUAUGAAAAAUCGUUUCUAGAUGAUGCAAAAGUUCACAUGUCUUUAUAUUAAUCAUGUGUACUUGGAAACAGGGUUUAGUUGUUCGUAUUGUCAUGGACUUUCAACAAUUAUCUAUAGUUUUCCAACUGAGGUUUCGAGCAUUUUCUUAUAAUUUAACAUGUGUUCCCACAGCAACGCCCGGGGUGUCAUCUAGUUAACUUGAAUGGCUGGUAGCGUUUUCUAGUACAAUCCAUUCACGGUUUGUCGAUGCAGAGUAUUCAUGAAUGAUUAACCAGUGCUCGGAUUAAGUUCAUGUAACUUUUUAUUUGAAAUAGGCAGACAACUUUCUUGAUGAUAUUUUUACUUCACACGGAAGGGGGCAUGUGUCAGUGAGCAUUACUGUUGUGCAUCUCUCACAGAACAAACCUACAUUUUAAGUCAAAUUCUGAAGAAAAAAAUCUGCACACAAACAUAGAGACGUACUAGCUAAACCCGCGCGGCGACACGCCGCGCUUGUUGAUUAAUCACGACUGUAUAUGUCGACUACGGGCUAAGCAGUAGAUUAAUGAAUAAUCAUCUGUUGUUAAUUAAAGAGAUCCAGAACAAUACAUAAAAAGGCCGAAGAUGACAAAUAACUGAAUUUAUUAUCGCCAUGCAAAUGCAUGGAUACAAACAGAACGGUUAACAUUGACAUAUCUCUAAGGAAAACUAUUUAUUGAAACCAUAUAGAGCUCACUCUAUGCAGUAAACAGUAUACAGUGCUAUUAUUUUACAAAACAACAACUAAACUUUUUUUGUAAGUUCUUUAUUAUCUGACAUACAAACAUUAAUAAGACUUGCUUCAUUUACAUGAAACAACAAAGGGUCUCGAGGAAUAACAUAUGUAGCUUAGCUUGUGCAUGAUGAGCAGCAAUACACUCCAGCUGCAUGAAGUCAUGUAGUCUCUUGGGUAGCACUAAAGCUAACACAUUGCACUUGUGGAAAGGAGACCGUAGGCAGGUCAUGGCGUUUAUGCUGAGCUUGUGCAAGAUGUGCUCAAGGUACGUACGUGGGGUUGUUGCCAACGGGUAGCUGAAUACCCCAUUACCAUUCUCACAGAACCUGGACGAUCACACCUCCUAAUCGUACACCUACACGAAACACACGGGGAAUAAGAAUUAAGAAUCAAGAGAAAGAUGUCCAAGCAAGCAACCAUGCAGGCAACAGGUGGCCAUUUCAUGUAAAAUCCAUGCACACGUAGUCACAUCGCCUGCCAAUCCCAUGCACACAGCCACAUCAGCCCGAUGAUAGCCCACCUCUAAAAAAAAGCUGCAUCGGCCUGAGCCCCCCUCUAAAAAAAGAAAACGGCAUCGUCCCGACAACCAUGCCCCACCGCUGCAUGCGGCUACUGAUUCCGGACCAAACAAUAUAUGGUGUAAACAAUCAGGGGUGAACAUUUUUGAGAAUUUUAAAUAUUGUAAGGGAAAAUAUUUUAUUCAAGAUAUUUUUUCCUAAAAAAAAUUUAUGUUUUUGAUUAUAGUUUAUAGACGACUAUGCUUCUAUUUGGAGAAAAAAGGUUUGAAAAGGGGUUGUGCACGAUAAGAGUAAAAUUAUUUUUUGGAGAGAACGCCCGUACUUCCAACUAACCAUGCAAGCAAAAAACAAUACGUACGACAAGGUUAUGACAGUACCCCAGACCUCUAUGUAAAGCUAGAUGGAACCAUCUGUAAAAAUCAAUCACAGUUGACGGACAUUCAACAUUGAAUAUAAAUGAGUCCCAAGCCUGAGAGAUUGAAGUUCGAUAUCAAAAAUUAUUAUAUACCAGGAAAAAGAAAAAUAGAUAAACCAACAAAUUACCCAGAGCUUAGAAGAUAACCGCUACACUUCCACAAUUCAUGCAGCAUCAGCACGCUGAAGAUCUUUUUUUUUUAAGCUAGCACGCUGAAUAUCUGGCGUAAGAAGAAGUGAUUAACAAAGCCAAGCAGCCAGACCUCUCCGUUCGCCAAAACUGUGAGGAAACCAGAAAAUGAAACUACCUGCAGUGAAAAGAGCUGUGCUGCUGGCGACAACUGCAAAGGUGUAACGCGAACUUCAUGUGCACCCGCUCUAACCCAGGACCUAGAGGGGAUGGAAGUCUCGGGCUCUGGUGACCCUGGGGACGCGCCCCCGCCCCCGGCGGGCGCCGCGGCCGGCGUUUCCUCCCCGCCCGGCUCCUCGUCGGACCCUCGCCCGGCUUCCCCGCCUCCUGCGUCGCCUGCCUCCUCGCCGCUCCCGUCCUCCCUCGAGGUGUUGCCGCGGAUCCGUUGGGCGGACCUCGCCGAGGAGGACGAACCCCCCUGGCCGACUGCCCUGGCCCCUCCCGUCCCCCCCGCCCCCCUCCCCCCGUUCGUGCGUCGCCGACCAGCGUGGCCGCUGGCUCAGCCUCCCAUUGCGGAGGUUCUGCCUCCGGCUCGCGGCGGCGCGCGCAGAACCGGCCAAUGAGCUCUGCUCGUCCGCCUCGGGGCCAAGGCGCAGCCUUGCGGGGCUCGGGAGGCCGCCGACGCUGCUCCUGGGGAGUGGCGGGCCGGUCUGACUUGGUUUCGGCUCGGUCCUCCUGGUGGGCGUCCACGGCGUCCCCUCCUCGGCUGACGCCGGCGACUCCCUCGGCUCUUCCCACCUCCCCGCCCGCCGGCGUGAUAGUGCCCCGCUGCUCCCCGUUCCGACCCUUCAUCGCCGCGUUUGGCUCCUUCGCGCAUCAGUUCCGUCCUCUCUCCCUCCCUCGUCGCCCUUGGCCGGCGGCCUCACCCCCCUUGCCCCGGCAACGGUGGCGGCGGCGGCUCCUCCCUGCGAAGGGGAAACCCUUCCGCGCGGUGCCCCGCUCCCUGUCCUGGGCCGUGCCCCUUUGGGCUGCGAGGAGGUGGCCCGCUCGCGCCGGGUAGCUGGCCUGGCCCUCCGGGCUCAUAGGCCUCUUCCCCAGGCCGCGGCAGCUGGGCCUUCGAUCCUUGGGCCGGCUCCGUGCCCUAAGCCCAGUCAGCCCCCUCGAUCGAUCUGGCUACCCUACGGCCUGCCGCGCCCCUCGUCCCCCCCCACCCUGCCGCCAUGGUCUCCCCCUCUCCCGAAGAGAUCUCCAGUUCCUCCCCAUCCCCGCCCCGCUCCACCCGCCUCCUCGUCCUCCCUCGCCGGCGACCGCCGGCUCGGAUUCCUCCCUGUCCGCUGGCUCCGCCCAUGACGCGGGAGUGGGAUGACGGCGUGGAUCGCCGCAAGCGGCGCUACGACGACCGCCGCGACCCCCCUCGUCCCUCCCCGGACGCCGCCCGUCGCGAGGAUGAGCUGCGGCGCGAGCUCCGGGACCGGGAGAGCCGCCGCUCGCAGGGCUUCGACGACCGUCGCGACCACCGCCGCUCCCCGGGCCGCUCCGAUGGGCGUGCUCGGUCCUGCUCCCCUCCGCCGGCGGCGGGCAACUGGCGCUCCUCGCGGCGGCGCUCUCCUUCCCCGCCCCGAUGCCGGGAGCGCAGCCCAUCCCCUCCCCGCCCGGCCCGUCCUCUCUCCCCGCGUGCGCCUCCCCAACCCGCUGCUGCCCCGGCCAGGAAGUACGUCCCGCCGCACGCCGCAAACUCCUCUGGUCCCCCUGUCGCCGGUGGUGUUGGGGGUGGCCAGGCUCGCGGUCGCCCGGGUGCGGCCAAAAAGAAGAAGCGGCGCGGGCAGGCUCGGGCAAACCAACAGGCAGCCCCUGUGCCGGCCUCCGGCCGCUCGGCUGUGUCUGGCCCAGUCUCUGGCCGCCCCAGUCCGCCGUGCUUCAACUACGGCAUUGCGGGUCAUUCCCAGGUCAACUGUGUCAACCCCCCAUGUGCUACAUUUGCAAGGAUCCCUCCCACCCCGCGCUGUUGUGCCCGGACCAGCCUAUCGACGAGGAGUUGAUGAUGUACGGCCAUGGGAUCGAGGGGCCGGGGUUCUUCCACAUCGAGCUCCCGGACGUCCCCUCCCCCUCCCUCCAGGCGCUCGUCACGAUGAUUGAUGGUGUCGCCUCCCCCGAGAUGAUUGAGGUUGAGCUCAACCACCUCUAUCGUCGCCAAUGGGACUGGCAGGCCACCCUCACCACUAAUGGCGCUUUCUCGGUGGUCUUCCCCGACGCUCUCAGCCACGGCUACGCCACGCGCAGUGAUCAGAUCACUCUCGCCCUCAACAAGUUGGUCGUCGACAUCUCCGAGCCGAUCCUCGACCCCAAGGCCGUCGCGGUCCUUGACACUGCUUGGAUCCUGGUCGCCGGGCUUCCUGACAUUGCCCGGUCUGAGCGAGUGAUCCGCAAUAUGUCUCGGAUCCUUGGCAAGGUGGUGGUGGUCGACGAGCUAUCCCCCCGCAAGGAGGAGGUGCGCGUCAAAGUCAAGUGCCUCGACUCCUCUAAGCUGCGCGCCACCAUCCGAGUCUUCUUCAACGACCAAGGCUUUGAUCUCCGCAUCGCUCCCGAGCCGCCCAACCAUGUGGGUCGGCCCCGCUUCUUCGACGACGCCCCCCCGGCGCUCCUCCUGGGUCCCAGGAUGACUACCGCGGUCGUCAUCACCCUCGGUCGCACCACUCCGAUGAUGAGGAGGGAUCUGAGGACAGCCCUUCCCGCUCCCCUUCGCCACCUCGCCCGGUCCCGUCCUCGAGCCGUGGGGGGCAGCAAGCUGGGCUCGCUGCGCCUCCUCCUUCUCCGGUUGCAGCCGCCUCCGAGGGGAGUGAUGCCUCCGACAUCAGCCUCAUCGUCACCCCGGCCUCCUCUCCCCGCUCCCCCGACACGCUCCCUGCCGUGACGAUCCUGGACGUGUAGCCGACCGCCUCCGUCCUGGCCUCCCCUACGGCUGGGACCCCUGUCGCGGCGCGCGCCUCCCCGGCCACCUUCUCACCGACGCUCCAGGGUGCCGCGCCACUCCUCCCCAGCUCGCCUCCCCUAGUGAUGGCCCCCGAGGAGCCCCCACCCCCACGGCAGCCGCUCCCUCCCCGUCGCCGCUGCCGGCGGUAACUGGGGUUCCUCCCGCCCCUGAUCCCGCGUCGCCAGCUCCUGCUUCAUCCCCCCGACGCCUCGACUGCUCCCAGCCGCUUCUCCUCCUCGCGGGUACGGCGGACCCCGGCGGGGAGGGCGAGACUCGGGUGACCACCCCCGUGGCUUCCCAGCCACCUCCCUCACGGUCCGCGGCCUACUCCCGCCGUGGUCGGUCCUCCUCCACCCCGGUGACGGCCUCGCGAUGGAGUGUCAGGCUUGAGGCCGCCUGGCCGGACGGUAGCCCUGCUCUGCCCAUCCCCGAGCCGGCGGAGCUUCGGGCCGCUGCCCGGAACCUGGAGUCAGGUACGCCAGUCGCCCCCCCUUCAACUUCUACUUGCUCAUUCUUUGCGCUCGAAGCGGUUCCUCUAGGUCACCUUGCGAAGGUUGUGUCAGACUCCGUGAUUGUUUUCAGGGGGGAAUCCGCUCCCCCCUUAGUGCAGAUUGCGGCCAUCCAGGCUCGCGAGAUCCUUGAUGGGAAGUUGGCGGAGGCCCGCCAGACCCUCCUCGCUCCCUCCAUCCCCUCGGGCCCUCCUCCGGUGGCUACCCCGUCACAACCCCGUAGGGCGGCUGGCCGCCCACCAGUGGUGGAGGCUGAGCCUCGGGGCCGCACCCACUCUCGCACUGCCGCUCUCCGCGCCCGAAGCGCCUCCCGCGUCCUGGGGUCAAGCAGCCCCCCAAUGGUUUCCUAAUGUGUGCCUUAUUCUGGAACAUCCGCGGGUUCGGCCAUGACGGCCGGCGCCGCCAACUCAUCGAGUACGUGCGCGAUGAGCAUAUUGACAUAGUGUCGAUCCAGGAAACCAUGCGCUCUGACUUCUCAUUGCCAGAGCUUGACCGGCUGAGCACCCACCUCUUUGCGUGGCACUGGCUCCCUUCUAGUGGGAACGCCAGCCAUUCGGGUGGCAUCCUUCUAAGUGUGAAGGAUGCCACCUUCGAGAUGGGGAGUAUGGACCGGGGCCAGUUCUUUGUUAGUAUGGAGCUCUAUGAACGAGCCCUGAACUUCAAAUGGGAGGUUAUCAUCGUCUAUGGCCCGGCUGACCACAGUAGAUCCGCGUCCUUCCUCGAGGAGCUUAACCGGAAGGGUCUCUGCGGCCUCCCUGCCGGUGGUUGUCGGAGGCGAUUUUAACCUCCUCUGAUUCGCGGAAGACAAGAGCAAUGACCAUGUCAACUAUGCACGUAUGCAGAUAUUUAAUGACUGCAUUGCCGAUCUUAGUCUUCGCGAAAUAGAUAGGAUCGGUGCCAGGUUCACCUGGACCAAUCGGCAAGCCUCCCCGACCCAGUCCGUCCUGGACCGGGUCCUAGUCUCCCCAGAAUGGGACCUCUGCUGCCCUCUGGCCUCUCUUCGGGCUAUCACUCGGAUUGGCUCCGACCACGUCCCUCUUCUCUUGUCCUCCUCCGAUGAGCGUCCUCUGAUCCCUCCCCGAUUUCGGUUUGAGACAUUCUGGUUGUUCCAAACUGGAUUCGUGGAGGCUGUUGGGGCUCGCUGGGUGGAGACCAGGACUCUUCCUCACCUCCGCCCCCCUCUGCUAUUGUCUCUUGGCACCUCUGUGCCAAACGCGGCCGACAGUUCAUGAAGGGAUGGGGUGCCAACCUGGGUCGCGACCUCCGCGAGCGAAAAAAGGCCUUGCUGACCGCCAUUCAGGCACUUGACCUCCGUGCUGACACGGUCGGCCUCUCCCCUGAUGAGUGGCUCUCUCGGUAUGACCUUAAAGACCAACUCUCCAUCAUCUACACGGACAAGGAAGCUUACUGGCAUUUGCGGGGUUCCUAGAAAUGGGUCCUGAAGGGCGACGCGAACACGGCCUACUUUCAGGCCAUAGCAAACGGCCGCCGUAGACGCAACACUACCCCCCUCCUCUGGGACGGUCUGUCCCUUCUGCAGUCCCCGAGCGACAUAGGACCCAUGUCGACGGGUUCUACCGAUCCCUUUUCUCCGCCUCUCCUAGGAGCGGCCAUUCUCUAGCCCUCGAUUGCUGGUCCGGCCGCCAGCUUGUCUCCGCUGCGGAGAAUGCCGCUCUCACGGCCCCAUUCUCGGAGGAUGAGGUCUGGGCGGCCAUUAGAGGCAUGAAUCCCUCCUCGGGCCCGGGUCCGGACGGCCUUCCGGUGAAAUUCUUCCAGACCUUCUGGAAUGUGAUUAAGCCGGAAAUCAUGGCCAUCUUUGACGAGUUCUAUGUUGGGACCAUCGACCUCGGGCGCCUCAACUAUGGGAUCAUCUCGCUCAUUCCCAAAGUGCCGGGGGCCUCCGACAUUCGCCAGUUUCGCCCGAUCACGGUGAGCAAUGUGAUCUUCCGGAUUCUGGCAAAGGGGUACGCCAAUAGGGUAACCCUGCUAGCAGACCUCAUUACCCACCCCAACCAGUCCGCCUUCGUGAAAGGGCGGUAUAUCCUGGAUGGGGUAUUAGUUCUCCAUGAAGUCCUCCAUGAGGUGUGGUCUAAACACCUCAAGGCGGUCUUCCUGAAAAUUGAAUUUCACAAGGCCUACGACACUGUUAGUUGGUCCUUCCUUCGGGAAGUUUUGCUCCGGAAGGGCUUCGAUGAUUGUUGGAUCACCCGGGUGAUGCAGAUGGUGUCCUGCGGGCGCACUGCCGUGAACAUCAAUGGGGAGAUUGGUCCUUACUUCCCCACCCUCUGUGGGGUUAGACAAGGCGAUCCUUUCUCUCCGUUCCUGUUCAACAUGGUGGUGGACGCGCUUGCCGCCAUCCUAGCUAGAUAAGGCCAAAACCGCUGGCCAUAUUCGUGGGAUUACCCCUCAUCUGGCGGGCGGCUCCGGGAUCUCCAUGCUCCAGUACGCCGAUGACACCAUCAUCAUGGUCGAGGGCUCGGACACGGACAUCGCUAACCUCAAGUUCCUUCUUCUCUGCUUCCAACAAAUGUCUGGCCUCAAGAUCAACUUCGACAAGAGUGAUGUGAUGGUUAUGGGCUACUCUCCGGCUGAAGCCCUUGACAUCGCCAACCGCCUCAAUUGCCGCCUCGGCUCCUUUCCCACGACUUACUUGGGAACCCCCAUCAGUGACUCUUGGCUCACUGUCGCGGACUUGCGCCCCACGAUCGCCAAGUUACAAACGCGCAUGGAGCCUUGGCAAGGCCGAUGGCUGUCAAAGGCGGCUCGGACGAUCCUCAUUAAUUCCUCCCUCACUAGCCUCCUCCUGUUUCUUAUGAGCUUCUACAGCCUCCAUGAGACCCUUCACCAUGAGAUCGCCAAAAUUCAAUCUCGUUUCUUCUGGGCGGGUGACAACAAUAAGCAGAAAUACCACAUGGUUAGCUGGACGGACAUCUGCAAGCCCUGUGAACAGGGAGGCCUCGGUAUCAUGUGCUCUAAACGCAUGAACAUCACCCUCCUCACCCGCUGGCUCUGGCACAUUUCGCAAGGACACCGUGGUCUCUGGCUUGACAUUAUCCGGAACAAGUACCUGCGCGGACAGCCCCUCGCCUUCUGUCAGAGAUCCGGCGGCUCCCAGUUUUGGCAAUCGGUUGUCCAACUGCUUCCUGUCCUUCGCAUCGGAACCUCCAUCGCGGUUGGAUCGGGUACAGCGACGCUGUUCUGGUUCGACCGGUGGGCGGGAGACUCCCCCUUUGCGGCCCGUUUCCCCGACCUCUUCUCCAUUGCUGUCGCCCCCUUAAUCUCCGUUGAGAGGGCCCUUAUUGACUUAGGGCGCCUCGCCUUCCGGAGGCCAUUUGGGCCCCCGGAAGCCGCCGCGGGGCUUCAGCUGCUUGAUUGCGUCGCUCUCCACGAGCCGGCGGUGGAUGCGGGCCCGGACGAGGUUCGGUGGCGUCUUGAGCCUUCGGGCCAAUUCUCCACCAAGUCCCUCUACUUGGCCAUUGCCCCCUCCUCCGCUCCUCCCCCCUCCCUGCGGUUUGGUCCAUCCGCUUGCCAUUGAAAAUUCGGAUAUUCAUGUGGCAAUGGAUCCGCGGUAGGAUUCCGUCUGGGGUGGAGGUCCGCAAACGCUAUGGCCCUGGGUCCGGCAUCUGCCCCCUGUGUGGUACCCCCGAAGAUUUGAAUCACAUCUUCUUCUCCUGUGUCUCAGCUCAAUUCAUGUGGAUCUCCUUUAGGGAGGCAGUGGGAGGCGAUUGGUGUCACACCAACUUCCCCGACCUCUUCGCCGAACUCCAAAACUCCCCUUCCCCCUCUCGCCACAUUAGGUGGCUCGAGAUCGGGGUUCUAGCGUGGACUCUUUGAACGAUUCGCAAUAAGCUUGUGAUCCAGCGUAUUCCUCUUCGACGGGCUACUGACGCUCUCUUCAAACUGUCUGGUUACUUGCAGCUUUGGCGGCCGCUUAGCUGCCCUCAGGACCGCGACGCCAUCACCGCCUUCAUCGCCGACCUUCGCUCGAUGGCCGUCCGUCUGUCGCCGCCGCCCCCUCCGCCACCCCCGGAGCCGGAUUAGACGCCUUGCCUCGGCCGUGUCCUUUUUGUUUAUUUUUGGCUUGUUGAGCUGUGCCCUCAGCAGAACCUUUGCACUUCUCGUUUUGUGACUUGGGUGUGUGUGUUCUGAACUAGUCCGUGUAUGUGUGCUCUUGGCGGUUAGCUUUAUAUAUAAAGCGGGGCGAAAGCCUUUUUCGGUAAAGGUGUAACGCAGGGCACAAGGUGCAGCGACAUGCGCCGGCAAAACAGCAGUCCCGACUAGCCGGAGCAGUCCGCCCCCGCACGUGCUGAGCACCACGGAUCACAAAUACAGAGUUGCCAGCCCGACAGCGCAUGAAGACUGGCAUCGGCGAUGUACACAUACAUUGUCUGGCCCGAAGCCCGUGUCCCCCGUCCGCUGUAGUGGUCGCCGCCACCGCCUCGGGGAAUCACCGAAGAGAUCAGGACACUGCUCCAUCGGUGAUCUGGCCGCUGGCGAGGAGCAUCUCCUAGGCGUGCUGUGGGCCGCCACCGCAGCAGUAGGAGGCCCUGCACUACAAUACAGCUACAUCUACAGGCCGUCUCUCGCCAGGAGCUACCGGACGCGUGCGCCGGCGUCCACAGAUCCGGGCCGCACGCCACUACGUCCAGCUCGUCCGAGUGCUACCACUACUAGGGGGAAAACCCUAGUAGUAGCGCGGGUUUAAUGCCCACUAGUAGCGCGGACAGCCGCGCUACCAAUAAGGCGCUGCAGUUAUUACUUAGCAGUAGCGCGUGCAACAAGCACUACUGCUAAGACACAUAGCGGCAUCGCUUGUUCUGUCCCGCGCUGCUGCUAAUCUAGCUAGUUGUAGCGUGUUUACUAUCCAUCGCUACUAGUACUCUUUUUUUUCAUUUUUAGUGUAUUUAUACGCCGUUAUACAAAUUUUGUACAAUACCAAUUAUGAGGUUUAUAUCAUUAUGUCCAUAACCGUGUGUCAAAUGAAGGUGGAGUAGGUUCAAGUGGAGGCAAUAUGUGGUGCAUGUCAAAAGUAUACUACUAAUCCAAACUUGAUCUAGUUUGGACUAGUAGUACUUUCGAUGUGCACCACAUGUUGCCUCCACUUGAAUCUAAUCCGCCAGCACAAGCUAUUUAAUCAUCAUCAUAGUCAUUACCACCAACAGUAUUUAUUUAAUCACCAUAGUCAUAGUGUAGCACAUCAUCAUCUUCAAACUCAUUCUAGCUAGCUAAUCACCACCAACACUAGAUGCGGUAGCUAUCUAAUCACCACCAACACUAGCAAAUAAUAAUUAUCAUAGUCAUUACCACCAACACUAGCUAUUUAAUCAUCAUACUCAUAGUGUAGCACAUCAUCAUCUUCAAACUCAUUUCUAGCUAGCUAAUCACUCCUGCUGCUCUCUCUCAGGUAAAAUAACAUAAAACAUGUGUAGCUCUCCUCCUUCAUCAAGUUGGAGCAUGCAGAUGAACCUGUCUCCUAAUCGUGGUCUACGCUUCUCAUUGCUGCCCCCUAGUACUUCUCUGCGCUCCUCCAUCACAAAUUUGGUCCAGUCUUUCACUAUUAAGACUUCCUCGCUCUUAGAAAUCCUGAAUGCACUAAAGUGCAUUGUAGGAUAUCUUGGCCGUAAGCUAACAAUACUCAUGGUACCAUUAGUCUCGAUCCCAUGAGGCACAACAUUCAUCGGGAGUCCCAGUUGAAGAACAUCGUAUAGUAACAUACUUAGCAAUGAAGUUUAGCUUAAAAAUAAUGUAUGCAAAAGAUGCACUGAGGACAAAUAGUAAAACUCUUACCAUCUUUCCUAAAUAGAUAUGACCGUAGUUCAUUACGAACACUAUUGGUCGCACGUUUUCAGUACUAACAUUUCUAAGUGCAGGAAGAAAAUUUGUCUUGACAGUAUCAAGAUCCUCAAGCAAUGAAACAUAAUGACUUAGCUCCUCGCAGUUUAGUUCAGCCCCGGGACAGUAGUAGGUCCUGUCUACCAAGCGCUGGACAUGUUUGCUUGAACCGAAAUAAGCUGACAAUAGAAAUUAGUUGUCAACUAUUUUUGAAUAAACAAUAUUAAAGACAUAAAUAUGGUUGAGAAACUCACAUAAUGGUAUAACUGGAGGCGCCUGCACAUCGACCCAGAUGUCGGUAUUACCUUCAAUAUCAUCUUCUGGAUGAAUAUCAAAGGUGAUAACCAUAUCAGGCUCAAAUGCAUAAGUCUUGCAUAGUGUUCGCCAAGUUUUGCAUCCAAAAUAGGUGUAGUCGUCUGCAUUGUAUAAUUUUACGUGGAAAAUAUAACCAUGCUCGGUCUUCAAGUAAACUUUCUUUACCUCCAUAGUACGACUGAAACCUAUCUUAUCCAAGACAAAAACUCUUGCAUGGCAGGGGAUACGCUAGUAGAAUAGUAAAAAAAAUUUAAAUUAUAAGUUGAAGGAAAUGAAGCAGAUGUCAUGCUUAAUUACGAAAAAAAACUUGUCGUUGUGACUUACUGUAUCCACUUCGAAGUUCACGUCCAGCUUGAUGCUGAAGCGCCAAUCAUCAUCUAGGAAGAUUCCGUCGCACAGGCCGCGCUCGUCUUCGCAGUAUUUGCAAAUACCGAAAUCCUUUUCGUUGUCAGACAUUUCCUAUGUUCAUAGUUGAAACAUUAAUUGAAAAUCGAUCGAAGACAACUCCAGGAUAGUCAAAAUAUCUUAUAGGAUCAUAUUGACAUGAGCAUUCAAUAAGCAAAACCAAAUCGUAAAAUAAAUAAGUAUUCAAAUUAGCAUGCAUUCAAUAAGCAAAAGUAAAUCAUCUCAUGCGUCCGUACAUCGUCGAAUAUUAUCACUAAUACAUCCCAAAUAGUAUCAUACAUAUAACAUCACUAAUACAGCUAAAACCCUAGCGCACGACGGGUAUCAGCGCGGGCGGUGGACACCCAAAGAGAAGGAACCAUCACAGGAUCAUAGCUCCAAUGAGAUCCCUGGAGAACCUGCCAGGUAUUGGAGAACCUGUGCUCCAACGCAACAAGUAGCGAUGGACGUGCGCGUCCUCCUCACUGACACGGUCAUGCACCACCUCCGCGGGGUCCUCGAGCCUCUGGACCGUCACUGGCCCACGCGACCGCCACCAAAGAAGGUUCGGGUCAACGACAGGCUGGCUCCUCACCAACCUGCGCCCCCUGGUAGGUAGCGCCUCCCAGUACCACCCCGGCGGAGCCCAGUCCCGGACAUGGCCCAUCUGGUGACGCAGGUGUCCUCCACCGACUCGACGACGAGGAUGCGGGAUAGGCAUCGUCGACGUCGAUGCGCGAAAAAUUGCUUUAACUAAAAAAAUAACAACAAAUGUGACAUGUUCAACUAGUUCUAUAAAUUCAACUAGUUCUUACGAUUAAAUCUAGUCAAUUAAUUCUAUACCUAAUAAAAUGAAUAAUGACAUAAAAAAGGCCUAUGCUUUGCAGGAACAUUGACUCCUUCCCGGUGCGGCAAAUCCCGGGCACUCGAUAUGUCCUAGUUUGUAGCACAAGUCAUGUCGAAAUUCACGAAAAAUUUCGGCAUGACUUUUGCUAAAAAGUGGACAAAUCGAGAACCUGAAAUUUGCCGGAACGGAAAUGAAUCAACAUUCCGGCAAAACAUAGGCCACUCGGCUUCAUUUCCUGAAAACAAUAAAGCCACUUGGGCACAAUCGAACCACUUCAAUAAUGGAAUAUGCAAAUGAACAUCAAUGACAUAUAUCAUAUAACAACAAUAUGCAAAUGAAAUUACUGUUUAGGCCUUUUCAUAAAAAUUUGCCCUAGCUAAUUUCCUAAAAAAAUUGCUAAUCAUUUUUCCUAAAUGCUAAAAAAUGCCUACUGCCCUAAACAAAUCUAGGGUUCAUAUGAACACCUAGGGUUCAUAUGAACAUCAACACAGCAUCAACACAUAUAUAAAUUGCCCUAGCAGAGCGAGAGGGGGGUAGGGGAGAGGAGAGGCAGAGCCUUACGGUGAUUGCGGCGAGGGAGGGGCAGGCGGCGUCGAGGUCGGGGUCGGGGCUCGGGCGCGCGGCGGAGGGCGGCGUCGAGGUCGGGGUCGGGGGCGGCGUCGAGGUCGGGGUCGGGGGCGGCGUUGAGGCGGGAGAGCGCGUGGGAGAGCGCACGGCGGCCGACGGGCGACGGCGGCGGCGACAGUGGAGGAGUUGCGAUUUGGGGGAAGUGGCCGUUGGGGAAAACGAAUCGAGCGGUUUAGUCAGAAGUAGCAGUAGCGCGUUCCAGGAAGUGCGCUACUGCUAACAUAGCUACAGCGCGUUCGUGGAUACGCGCUACUGCUAUACCAUUCUCUUUUUUCCAAUUUUUCAUUUAUUUUUAUUUACAUUUUAUUUUUUUCUUUCACCUUUCUGUAUUUCUUUCAUUUUCAUUUACUUUUCUAUUUGCUUUUCAUUUAGUUUUAUUUACUUUAGAAGUAGCGCGUCUCAGCGUAAACGCGAUGCUACAAAGCAAAUAGCGGUAGCGCUGUUUGGCGAAGAUCGCUACUACUAUGUGCAGCCUAUCGGCUAAGCCGUGGGAAUUUUAGUAGUAGCGCUUUUGUACGCUGGCGCGCUAUUGCUAUAACGGUAUCUAUAGCCCGGUUUACAACACCGCGCUGCUGCUAAUUAGCACCAGCGCGUGUUUUUAACCCGCGCUACUGCUAAUGUCCUGUGUAUAAGAUUUUCCCUAGUAGUGUCGCGGGUUGCCGUUCAACCACAGCCACCUCCGCCCCAUCCGCACCACCGUGCAGGCGUUCACGGAGGGCCGCCCGUGCCCGCGCCUUAGAAGAAGACCAAGAAGCUAGCGGAAGCCUCCAUCCGCGCCAAGCUCAGGGACUUCCGUAAGCUGGCCUCCCCCGGCGGGCGGCUCGCGGGAUUCCUCAACAUCAUCUUCGCCGGCAAGCGCGCGGUACGUGUGCUCAUCGGCGUCGUGGUAUUCGUGGUCCUGCCUGAGGAAGACCAGCUGACACGCGGGCAGGAGCACCGUACCGUGCGGUUCAUGGAUAGUGACCGCGAGGCGCCGGCGGCGGUGCCUGGUGCAAAUCUUGGGACGGUACCGGCGCUGGAGGCGUCCUCCGGCUGGCGAUGGCAACACGAUCUCCAGCAGAGCUUCAAGGUUAGUGGAGCCAUGGCACCGGGCCGCUCAAGGUGUGUAUAUACUUGCCGUGUCCGGCGUACACUGCGUUGUCCGCUGGGAAGGAGGAGAGCCGGCCUCUUCUUAUAUAGGCUUAUAGGGCGGUGGCGUUGUGCUCAGAUUUUGCCCGGGCUUUCUAGAGAAGACAGGGCAUGGGGAGAGAACACAACGACCGAACCAACAGCGGCACACAGGCAACGACAGUGACAGGAACCAAUAUAGAACCCGAUGACGAAUAGGAAACAAGAAAGCGACUUCGGCCAACAGCACCAGAGACUGACAGCGACCUAUCACAAUAGCGAAGAAGGGCCAAAGACAGCGACUAAUCACAAAUGCGAAGAACGGCACCAGAGAAAAUACUAAACGAACCAAACCAAGCUGCACACACGUUCAAAAAAUUUCAAACGAAAACCUGAAUCCACAACUCAUUUGUACACAACCAGGUACCAAAAUAAUACGCGUGCCCCAUAGGAAUUUACCCAAAAGUCUUUUUCAUCCAAGUGGAUGAAUCUUGGAGCGAAAAAGCUCCCGGAUAUAGAGGUUUGGGUAUAUUACACGUGUGUGAAGUUUAAUGAUGAAAUACCUUAUGAUGUCGCUACAUAAAAAAAAUACAAAUUACUCAAAGUUGUGCAACGAAGAACAGAAAAGUGAACCAUCGCCAUAUUUUGGGAAGGAGCGAAAAAACUCUUUGGAGGACGAGCUCCAUGUAGGACUCGUUAUCUGGUGCGUGUGUCUUUCUUAGAACCACGCUCAAGACCUUAUUCAUCGCACGUAUCUCACCUGCCAACCAUUUUACACACCACCAUAUUCUUGUUUUUUUUACGGGACCGUAUUCUUGUUUUAUGAAUAGUACUACCCCUUUUCCAUUAAAAAAAAGAGUUGUGCCAUCACAUGUUAACAGGUUGGGCCUACCAGUGCAUGAAGUCUAUCACCCCGCCCCCAAGCCUAAUUUGGUACAAUUUUGACCCUGAAAUCUACAAAACCGGACAAAUUUACCCCUCGAGUGGUUUUGCUAUGAUUUGGGUGGUUUUGGAUUGUGUUGCGGGGUGGACAUGGCGAUGUAACUCAAGGUGACGGUCACCGCAACACGGGCGCAUGCGGGGCGCGUGAUUCCCGCUGGAGAGGGUGAAAGAAGGGGGAGGGAAGGGGAAGGAGGGGCUAGGGCAUCGGAGGCGAAGCUGUAGCACCUCGACGACGAGCAUCAGGCGUCCAUGGCAGUUGGAUGAAUGACAUAGAGGAGAGAGGUGGAGAGAGGAGGAAGAUGAUGUCAGAUCCAAAACCACGAAAAUCAUAAUCAAAACCGCUUUAGGGGCACAUUUAUCUAGUUUUGAAAUUUUUAGGGUGUAAAUUAUACCAAAAGCAGUCUUUAGGGGGGGGGUAUUUGUCCAUUGAACCACAUUUGAAGUUGAAAAUGAACUUCUUUCUAUCCAUUAUGUUGCAUUGUGGCCCGCGAGAACGGAACAUGGGCAUGAAUCUGGUUGGAUGUGCCUCUUUGAAGUCGUUGCCAUUUGGUCGAGCUGCUGGGAUUCCUGGCCUAGACGUUUGCUGGUUAGCAAUCUACUACUCCCUCCGUUCCUAAAUAUAAAUCUUUUUGAGAUUGUACAAUAAAGAAUACAUUCAGAUGUAUAUAGACGCCUUUUAAGUAUAGGUUCACUUAUUUUACUCCGUAUAUAGUCUAUUGUGGAAUCUCUUAAAAGACUUAUAUUUAGGAACGAAGGGAGUACUCCUCUUGUCCGUGGUACUCUUUCGCUUUCUUGGGCACAUGCUUUUGCACCAACGGUGAGUGGUGCCUGGCAUUACUUCUUCUAUGGCAACCUCCAUCCUGAGCCUGGUCUGUUUUUACACAAAAUAGAAAACACAAAACCAUAAAAGAUUUGUGGGUACCCCCAUGGGAAACAAACGAGGUUGAUCUCUCUCUCUCUCUCUCUCUCUCAAAUUCCUGAGCAUUUUUUAACUCAUAAAGAAUUUUUAAAAUUAAAAAAUAUGUUUUUAGUUCGUGAACAUUUUCUCAAUAGGCAAACAUUUUAGUAUGUUCAAGAACAUUACUCAAAUUCACCAACAUUUUCCAAAUGCGCAGAAAAUUUUCAAAUUUGUGAACAUUUUAUUAAAUACAUGAACAAUUUUUCAUAUUCAUGAACAUUCUUCCAACUUCAUGAACAUGUUUUCAAAUAUGCGUCCCUAUUCACGAACAUUUCUCAAAUUUGUGAAUGUUUUUCAAAUACGUGAACAUUUUUUUAAGCUUGGGAAAUUUCUCUCAAGUUUGCGAUCAAUUUUAUAAAUACAUAAACGUUUUUAUGUAUUGGGGAACAUUUUCAAAAUACGCUCCUCGAAGAUGAAUUCCAUCCAUCCUUGGCCAAUAUUUUUGUUUCUGAAACUGGGCCGAAAUCAGGCCAGUAAAUGCAAAGUGAUAAACUUUUUGUUGAUGGACUGAUCGAUUGUUCCACCGGCCUAACUACCUCCACACGGUGCAAAUUCAAAGUCCGUGAACGCUAUGUCUCGCAUUACGCGAGACGGUAGCAGCUCUCGCUGACGGUUUUUCCAUUUUUACAAAAAAAUUAAAUGCUUGAUUAACAUUUGCGUGCAUAUAGUUAGAGAAAGAGCUGAGGAAAGGGGGAACCAGAAUCGAUUCCUGGUCUCAAAGGUGACAGCGGGUGCUGCUACAAAGCCCGACCAAGUCCCGUUCGUGAUAAUUUGUAGGUGCGCGUCAUACUUUUGGCGAUUCAAGCCGGUUUUCUUUGAGUUUUUUUCCUUUUUCUCUUUUUUUCUUCUUCAUUUUUUUAUUCUUUUUUGCACUCGUUUCUUCAUUUUUUUCAUUUCUUUUUUCCUUUUGUUUAUUUUCUUUGUUCUUUUGGUUAUUAUUGUGCAUUUUUUGUAUACGUCAACAACAUUUUUUAAUACACGUCUAACAUUUUUCAAAUACAAACCAACAAUUUUUGCAAUACAUGGUCAAUAUUUUUGUAUACACAUUUUUUAAAUGCUUGAUUAUCAUUUUUCAAAUACAAGAUUAACAAAUUUUCAAUUCAUGGUCAACAUUUUUUUCCAUUUUUACAAAAAAAUUAAAUGCUUGAUUAACAUUUUCUUAAUACAUGGUCAACUUUUUUUCCAUACACAUUUAACAUUUUCCAAACGCUUGAUUAACAUUUUCAAACCCUUGUUCGACAUUUCUUUCAAAUGUUGGAUUAACAUUUCUAUAUACAUGAUCAAACAUUUUUAUCAUUUUUAAUACAUGGCCAACAUUAUUACCAUACACAUUUAACAAUUUCCCAAUUCUUGAUUAACAUUUUUUAAAUACUCGUUUAACAUUUCCCAAUUUUAGCUAGCUAUGGUGCAAACUAAGUGUUGUGCCUCGUCUUAAUCUAUCUAUAUAUCCUAUCUUCUAUUCGGCGAGGUGGCUGCGCCCGUGGCGAAUGCGGUCGCCGCCAUUGCCGGCGCCUGACUUGGUCGAUCUGCCUCUUCUCUUUAGAUGAGAUGGGGAGGAGAUGGUGAGAGAUGAGGUCAACGGCUUUGGGGAGAGGAUAAGGGUAGACGCCAACGGUGAGGCGGCGUGAGGAAGACGAGGUGGUUCGCGGCGGCGACGCGUGAGGGGAGGGGAAGGGAGGGGUAGUGGUGCGUGGAGGGGAGUGGGUAUGCGGCGUGCCCAAUUCGCGAGAGAGGAGAGAGGUCGGCAAGGGAGCGAUCCAUGGGAGUUUUUUUUCCUUCUGAGUGAGCCUAGUUGGGCUAUCUGCUGCGUCCAAGGCCCAGUGCACCACAUGUCUUCAAAUUGGCCACCAGUAGCAGCCCUUAGAACAGCAUGGCCAAUUUGCAAAUUUAAAGACAUAAGUUUUUUGCACGCAUGAAAAACAUAACAUGUAUCUUUCCACACAUAAUGAACUAUAGGUACUACCCCAAAAAAACAUAAUGAACUAUAGGUUGUCACAAGAACUCAUGCCAUCCCACAACCUCCCUCCGACCCUGCCAACAUUGUUGCAGCUGCACUCGCAAGUGUUACCGUAGAUGAUCAUGAAAUUACCAUAGAUGAUCAUUUCAUGAUUCGCGUAAAACGAAAUAAGAUCUACAAAUGAAUAGAAGCUACACAUACCUUGGCAUGCACACACAUUGCAAGCCAUACUAAGAAGAUAAGUGUUAAUAACUUGUACUCCCUCCAUCUCAGUUUACAAGUCUUCCACGUGUAUCUAGGUCGUCAAUUUAAUUAUACAAAAUAAAUUGUUUAACAUAAAAAUUAUAUCAUUAGAAAAUAGAAUAUCUACAGUUUCUAAUGAUAUAUUUUUUGUAAUGUAUGCCUCUUAUUAAGUUGGUCAAAUUAACGACCUAGGUACAUGUGCAAGACUUGUAAACCAAGAUGGAGGGAGUACAACAUAUACAACACUUAAGACAAGUAAAAGCAAUUUGGUGAGUCAUGGUCUAUGAAACCAAGCUACAUUACUAAUCUAAUCUAUCUUAACAGGUCACACAUGAUUACAAUCUUUUUUGUAUGCAAGUCAAGCUUAUCUAGUCUACACGUAACAACUUGUAGAACAUUACAAAAUUGAUGUUUGCUAACAAAUUCUAGAACACUACAACACUUGACAUGUAAAAAGAAUUUGAUGAGUCAUGACCUACUAAAGCAAGUUAUAUUACUAGUCUCAUCUAUCUUAACAUGCCAACAAGAUUAAAAACUAAGUUCUGUGCAAGCAAUGCUUAUCUAGUUUACACGUAACAACUUGCAUAACAUUACAAACUUAGUUUCACAAAAUUAGGCAAUCAAGAUUAGUGUUUAGCUGUAAAGUGAAUAAGAUGAGUCAUGUGUGUUAUCACACCUUUUUGUGGUGGAAUGAUAGUGCCACCAAACACAACAUACCAAAAUAUGAUUUUGGGAAGCAUCCAAGCACUUUGCAGACAAGCAAAUGCCAAUUGUGAAAGAGAUCAUGCCAUGGCAGCUAUAAAUAGGCAUGUAGCAUGAUGACCAUCCUUCCUCAUUCAUCAUUCUCAUAAGUAGAGUGCAUCAUUCAAGCCAAGCAAGAACUGGUCAAUACAAAUACACCAUGAAGACUUUUCUCAUCCUUGCCCUCCUUGCUAUUGUGGCGACCACUGCCACAACUGCAGUUAGAGUUCCAGUGCCACAAUUGCAGCCGCAAAAUCCAUCUCAGCAACAACCACAAGAGCAAGUUCCAUUGGUGCAACAACAACAAUUUCCAGGGCAGCAACAACCAUUUCCACCACAACAGCCAUAUCCGCAGCCGCAACCAUUUCCAUCACAACAACCAUAUCCGCAGCCGCAACCAUUUCCGUCACAACUACCAUAUCCGCAGCCGCAACCAUUUCCACCACAACAACCCUAUCCACAACCGCAACCACAAUAUCCGCAACCACAACAACCAAUUUCGCAGCAACAAGCACAACAACAACAACAACAACAACAACAACAAAUCCUUCAACAAAUUUGCAACAACAACUGAUUCCAUGCAGGGAUGUCGUCUUGCAACAACACAACAUAGUGCAUGCAAGCUCACAAGUAUUGCAACAAAGUAGUUACCAACUGUUGCAACAAUUAUGUUGUCAGCAGCUGUGGCAGAUCCCCGAGCAGUCGCGGUGCCAAGCCAUCCACAAUGUCGUUCAUGCUAUUAUUCUGCAUCAACAACAACAACAACAACAACAACAACAACAACAACCAUCGAGCCAGGUUUCCUACCAGCAGCCUCAGCAACAAUAUCUAUCAGGCCAGGGCUCCUUCGAGCCAUCUCAGCAAAACCCACAGGCCCAGGGCUCUGUCCAGCCUCAACAACUGCCCCAGUUCGAGGAAAUAAGGAACCUAGCGCUACAGACGCUACCAGCAACCUGCAAUGUCUACAUCCCUCCAUAUUGCUCGACCACCAUUGCGCCAUUUGGCAUCUUCGGUACUAACUGAGAAGAGAAGAACUCUAGUACUAGAUAUAUCAAACAUCGUGUUCUUAGUCCAUGGUUUGGUCGUUGUACUGGUGAAAAUAUAAAGUGACAUGCACUACCAUGUAAGAACCCGAACUAUACUAGUUCAAA